AAGUUGAAGGCUUUGAAAUGGGAUUUAAAGAGGUAAAAUGAGGAGGUGGUGGGCAACGUAAAUUGCCAUAAAAUUUAGUGUCUUUUGAACAUUGAAAAGUGGGAUAGGCGGGAGGAGAGUAGAUGGUUGGUUGGGAAAUAGAAAGACAGAGUAUUACGAGGAGAGCUGGAGAGGUUGGUAGAGAUGGAGAAGAUUGCUUAGCACCAGAAGUCUAGGAUCCCGUGGUUGAAAGAGAUGGACAAAUGCAACAAGUUUUUCCAUAGUGUUGCCAAUUCUAAUAGGCUCAACAAUUCCAUCAUAGUGUCGGAGGUAGGUGGGGUUAUUUAUGAGGACCCACUGGAUAUUAGGACUCAAGUGGUGAGAUUCUAUCGGAAUCUUUAUUAGGAGCAGUUAGAGUGGAGGCCAAAGUUAGAGUGAUUUGAUUUUUCUACCAUCACAAAAGAGGAUGCUAGAUGGUUAGAGAAACCAUUUGGAGAGGAGGAAAUUAAGGAUGCGAUGCUUACUAUGAAUUACCCCAGUAGUAGACAAUUUCUUGUUCUCAUUUUAUAAGGCGUGUUGGGAGGUCGUGCAGCUAGACAUUAUGGACGUUCUUACUUAUUUUUAAGUAUGGUAGGUUCGUAAGAAGUUCAAAUGCUACACUUAUUGUAUUGAUCCCUGGGAAAUCGAGAGCGACAUAUAUUAAGGAUUUUCUCCCUAUUAACUUAGCCAGUGGAAUGUACAAGAUUAUUGGAAAAUGUUUGGAAAAUAGACUAAAUGAGGUACUAGGAAGAGUGGUGUCUAAGUUUUAGAAUGCUUUUGUGAAAGGACACUAGAUUUUAGAUUUUGUGCUGAUAGUAAAUGAAUACAUUGGCUCAAGAUUGCGCCUAGGGAUUCCAAGGAUGCUAUGCAGGCUCGAUGUUCAGAAAGCUUAUGAUCAUAUGAACUAGGGGUUCAUUUUAUAUAUGCUUAGCCGACGUGGCUUUGGAGAUAAGUGGUGUAAGUGGAUUCAGUUUUAUAUCUCUACUGUUUCGUUCCUAUUUUGGUCAACCGUAUCCUUGAGGGUUAUUUUUGGAGUAAUCGAGAUUUGAGGCAAGGGGAUUCAUUGUCUUCAUUGCUAUUUGUUAUUGUAAUUGAGGCCUUCAGUGGGAUGCUUGAGAAAGCUGUAGGAGAAAAUUUGAUAAAGAGCUUUAUGGUUGGUCAAUUGCAAGUAUCCCAUUUGUUAUUUGCAGAUGAUACACUGAUUUUAUGUGAUGUAGAUGCUAAGCAAUUCAAUAAGUUGCACACUUGCUCCUAUCUUUGAAACUGUGUCUAGAUUGAAGAUAAAUAUGGCAAAAAUCUGAGGUUAUUCCAAUAGGAGAGGUUGCUAAUGUAGAGGAGUUGGCUAAUAUAUUGGGUUGUAGAGAUGCGCACUAUGUCAUAUCAUGGGCUCCCUUUAGGGGUACGGUUUAAAAGUAUAAAUAUUUUGAGUGAAAUUGUGGAAAGCGUGGAAAAGAGUUUAGCGAGGUGGAAUCGUACAUACCUUUCAAUUAAAUCCAUUCUCUCUAAUCUCUCUAAUUUUUUGUCAUUAUUUUCUAUUCCUGUUGUAGUGGCAAAUACAUUAGAGAGAAUUCAAAAGAAUUUCUUUGGGAAGGUUUGGGGGAGAAGAGGAAACUUCAUUUGGUUAACUAGGGAAUUGUUUACUCUCUUAUGAGGAUAGAAGCCUCGGAUUGAGGAGCAUUGUUUUGUUUAAUAACUCCUUGUUGGGCAAGUGGUUGUGACGAUUCGGAGUGGAGAUUGAGAGUUUUUGGAGAGAAAUCAUAGGGACGAAGUAUGAUGUAACGGAUGGGGUUGGUGCUCGAUUGAGGGUCGUGGCUCUUAUAGGGUGAGUUUAUGGAAUAUAUCCGAUGAGGAUGAAGUGACCUUUGGGAUAGAUUGAAUUUUUGGUUGGAAUGAUAAUAAUAUUAGAUUUUGGGAUGAUUGUUGGUAUGGAGAUCAACCACUAAAGAUGGGGUAUAGUUCCUUACAUCGUAUUGCUCUGAUGCUUUCUGCUAUGGUGAAUGGUGUAUUGGCCAUUCACAAUAGGAGUUACAAUUGGAAUAUUAUUUUUUAGAGGGUUAGUUAGACGGUUAGCAGGAUUAGGAAUUGGAUGAUAAUGCACUAUUUUUGACCUCUUCACAUGAGGUAUAAAUCAAGGUUGAAGAGGGUUAUCAUAGCAGAUGGAGGUUGGCACGAGAUGAUAUUUUUUCAGUCCGCACUUAUUUUAGAUCCCUUUUGGGCUUGUGGAGAGUUCAUUGCCCUAGAAGAUGGUAUUGCAAUGCAAUUUGCCUCCACGGGUGGCAUUUUUAUUGUAGACAGUUGUGAGGGGUAGGUGUUAAAUAUAGAUAAUCUUUGAAGAAAAAUGCUUUUAUAUAACCGAGUGGUGUUAAAUGUGUAAGAGUGAAGGGAGAUGCAUGACCACUUGUUCAUUCAUUAUGAUGGUGUUUGUUGGUUGUGAAAUAGUAUUCUGACUUUUCAACAUAUGGAUUGGUUGUUGCCUAUGCACAUAGAGGACGUGUUAUGGGCAUGAAGGAGAAAAUUUCGUGAUAAGGAUAAUAAACUUGUAUAGGAUCUUUAUCCCGAGAUGCAUUGUAUGGUGUGUAAGGAGAGAAAUGAACAACUGUUGUUUUUAAAGACCAAACACAAAUGACAGAGUAGAUCAGAUAAUUGUUUUAUCUGACUUUGUAUACUUGAUUUAAUAACUCGACUACUAAUCCUAUAGAAGGGUUGCUUAAUUUCACAUUGUUUCUUUUUUAUUUAAAUUGAGAUUACACUUUUUGUUUACUCUCUUUUGAUUAAUAAAAUUAUUUGAUUACCUAUCAAAAAUUUUUUAAAAAUUCUAAAAUUCUAAAAAAAAUAAAAAAAAAUCUAACUUUUAUUUAUAUAAUAUUUUUUACUUUUUUAUUAUUUCCACUAUUUUUUGAAUUAAUUAUUUACAUAUUUGUAUUUUACUUUUGUAUGAGAAAAAAUAUUAUAAGAUUCACCCGUUUUAUAAUGUUUAUUUGAUAACACGUUAACACAAAAUUUUUCCACUUUAUUGAAUAAUUAAAAUUAAUGGAAUAAAUUUUUAUAACAUAAAUUUUCAAAUUUUCAAAUCAAACUUGUUCUGUAGUUAUUAAUUUUGAGAAAUAUUUUUUCGAAGUGACAACUCAAAUGAAUUUUCAGUAAUCUUAAAACGGAUUCUCAAAAGUGAAAACUGAAAAUAAAUUGAAAAUAAACUUAAACUAUAAAAAUGAAUCCAAACCAAACCAAACAAACACUAAGCUGCAAGAACUAUCAUUGACACUACUUCUUCAACACUAAAUAAAAGGGAAAAAAUGUCGUGAACAUUGAUUAAAGAUACUACACUUGAAAUUUUGUUAUUGAAAAUUAGUUUGCUUCAAAUUAUAGAACUAUUUUAUCAACAGAUCUAUAAUCAUCGAAUUUCGAACUUCAAAAAUUUCAGUCGUGGUGUUAUUUUUCUGGUAUAUCAUAUAUUUCCACAUAUGGCAGUGUUAUUCAUAGUUUUAUUGGAUCUUUAAAGUGAAACUAGAGUACUUGAAUAUUCAUUUUCUUUCAAUUUGCAUUUGGAAUCUUCGGUAUUAUAUUUGUAAUUAUUGGCUUGCGUUAAUUGAAUGUGGUAGUUGAGGUUUCACAAAUUGAGUGAUGAGAAUCUUGAUAUUAGAAAUCCUAUUUUCUAUUCCAUCGAGAACAAUCAAUUAGCAAAAAAAAAUAAAAACAUAGAAGAUUUAUAAAAAUUCAUCUCAAUAUGAGAUUACAUCCUCUUUCCUUAUUGUAAUAAUUCAUUAUAAUGAAAAGAAGUUUACAAGAGAAAAUCACAUAUCUAUUUUCUCUAACAUUUCUUUCUUUUUGAUGGUCAUACUAGGCUUAAUGACAAUUCCCUAUUUAUAAGACAAAUUAGAGCAAAAUCAAAAUCUAAAGGACAAAAAUUCUUAAACCAUAAUUUACAAGAAAAUAAAUUCUUUAAUUAUACUUAAUGAAAUUUUGGUUCAAAUGUACCUUCCGAAAGAGGGGCUUCCUGGCCCCCUCCAAACUCACAACGAUGUCACCUUGAGCGUCAAUUCACGUACUAACUCCACUAGCGAUAAUAAUUAAUAUCUACAAUUUAACAAUCUCUUACUGGGAAUCUAAUUCACCAUUAAUAGCUCAUCUGCAGUGAAAACUCCUCAAUCCUUAAAAGAGAAGUACACAACUCCUCAAUCCUCAAAAGAGAAGUCCAACUAAAGUUGCACAAAAUUUCAGUUUCUUGAUUUGAACAUUCUUCAUUAGCAUUUAAACCGUAUUUCGACUUCCUUGAAUCUUCUCAAUUACUAUAAUUUCAUCCUUCAAAGUCAAUCUGAUAAAGUGAUAAUGAACCUGUAUAUGCUUUGUCAUUAUAUGAUAAAUAGAAUUCUUUGUUAAAUGAAUAACACUCCGACUAUCACAAUACAACAAUCUGUCCAUGCUUGUGACCUAAUUCUUCCAAAAAGACUGCACUCAAAUCAUCUCUUUGCUAUCUUCGAUCACAACAACAUACUGAACCUCAAUAGGUGAAAGAGCAACUAUCUUUCAUAGCUUAGACCACCCAACUAACUAUCUACCACCCGAAGUCUAUACAUGUCCGUUAGUACUCUUCAUGCCAACAAUAUCUCACGUCAUGUCAAGGUCCACAUAACCUUAUAAUCCCAAGCUAAUUUUAUAGAACAUAAAACUUAAUCUUCAGUACCUCUUAAGUACAUGAGAAUACACCUUACAAUCUCCUAAUGUUGUUGACCCUAAUUUAUCAUAUAUCUACUAACGACUUCUACUACAUAUGCUAUAUGUUGUAUCUCGUACACACCAUGAAAUAUACUGCUAAUAGCAGAGGCAUAAAUUACCUUUACUAUGUAAGCUCGCUAUUACUCUGUAUUGGAUGAUUGCUCAUUAGCUAGCCUGAAAUAACUAGCCAAAGAAAUACUCGCUAAUUUUUCAUCAUCAAUCCUGAACUUGCUUGAAAUCUUUUUCACUCUCUUCCUCUGACGAUUUCAAGAUGAUAUUAUCCCUAGCAAUUCUUUUCCCAAGUAUUUGUUUUGCAACAUCUAAGGCCUUCACUACAAACUCGUUGCAUGACUCAUUUUUCAACUUGUAUAUUUCUUGUUUACAAGCACUUACAAUCAACAUAUCAUCACCGUAUAGCAGUAGAAUAAUAUAGGAAUUACCAAGGUUUUUCACAUGUAACAAUGAUCCACCUGACACCUUAUGAAGUCAUUACUACCCAUAAAACUAGCCAGCUUUUUAUAUCAAUGUCUCAGAUCUCGUUUAAGACUAAGAUUUUUGAAGUCAACACACCAUUUUCUCAUUUCCUUGCACUUCGAAACCUUGUAGCUGCUUCAUGUAGUUUUUUCCUCCAAAUCACCAUGAUAAAAGGUUGCCUUUACAUCCAACUGCUCUAGUUACAAAUCUUCAUUCACUGAUAAUCCAUGACCUGUUCUAAUUGUGGUUAAUAUCACCACAGAAAAGAAAACCUUAAGGUAGUCAAUGCCGUCUUUCUAUUGAAAUCCUUUACAACCAUCCUUACUUUAUAUCGCUAGUUCCCAUCUUGUUCUUUUAACCAAUAAACCCAUUGAUUUUGUAAAACAUUCUUUCCUUUAAUAAUUCUAUCAAUUGUCAUGUUUGAUUGGACAAUAAUGAAUCCUUUCUUCUAGCACACUCAUUUAAAGUCCUAUUCAUCCUUUCAACGAGAACAUUAUGUUAGAUUAUUCUUAGAAUAGCCUUCUUUAUCGACAAAUACUUCUUGAAAUCAUCUACAUAUUCUUCCUCAUUAUCUGGCUAAAAAAGCUAAAACUUCAAAGCUGUCUAAUUUUCAACCACCACUUUUCAUCUCUUGUAGGUCAAAUUCAAUUGUGUAAAUUAAAAUUACGGUAAAAGUUUAGUCACCUCUAAUGAAAUUUACCUAAAAUUCAAAACUAUAUUCUGGUAGUUCCAAGUGUAAUAUUCACAAAAAAAAUACAUGUGUAAAGUUCUCAACUUAUAGUGUAGUGGAAAUUAGGUCCACUAUGGUAUAUGUCUCCUAAAAUGAAAAACCAGAUAUGAUCAAAAUAAAUAUAUCAUGUUUCUCUCUAUAUCUAAUUCUCUCUCUCAUUCUCCCUUACAACCUCCAAAAUUGCUCUCUCAUUUCUUUCUCAACCUAAUGCAUUUUUUUGCAAAAUUUUUCUUUAAAAUUUCUACUAAUCUUUAAUAAUCUCCAAUAACCUUUAAAUACACACAAAUCAAUCCACAUGUGAAUCAACUAUUGCUAAAGUUUUGAUUGCAAAUUUGCAGCUUGUGUGUGGAUCAGUUUGAUAGAUGUAAUGUUGUGUGUGGUGGCGAUGUGGUUGACUGCAACGUAAGUGAAGAUGUCAUGUGAUUCCAUCACGGUUAGGAUGGUGUGGUUCAGUGACUACCCUCGAGUUUCAAAUGCAAAUUUGAGGUUUGUAUGUAGAUCGAGUUAUUGUUUUGUGCGAUGAGUAAGGAUAAAGCUGAUGGUGGAAAGUUUGAAUUUGUGGUGGUUUUAGAGCUACAAUAACAGAACAUAAUAUAAAAUUUCAAAGAAAUACAUUUAAAUUAACAUAGAAUGUAACUUACGCUCAUUUUAACUUAUUAAAUGUAGGCUUCUCCAAUUUUACUAUAAAAUAAUUACAUAUAUCUCAAAAAUUACAAACAAUAACAUAGUUUAAGAUAUAACUAAUUCUAGAAAUUAUUAUGGUGUAAUAUUAUUCAUAGUAAACGACUAUCUUAGUUAUCAAAUAUGACAUAUAUUGAAUGAUUAAGUUAUUGAAUAUAUAUCAUAUAGAAUAAAUACAGUAGUAAAAUAUUGGCCUAGACACAAAACAAACUAAGUCCUUAUUUGGUGGGAAUUAAAAUCAAUUUUUUAAUCAAAUAUAUGGUUGAAAAAUUGUGGGAUGCAUGAAAUAUGUAUUUAAAAUUGAUUGUUGAAGUUGACAUAAAUUAAAAUCUGAAUUUUAAUCAAUACGAAAUAGGGCCUAAGUUUACAAUGGCAAAAGUGUCUACAUCUAACGACGUCAUUACGUUCUUCUCUUCUAUUUUUCAUUUGUGAGCCAAAGCCAUUUUCAUUUGUGAGCCAAUUCACAUACUUAAUAAAAUGUCAUAGGUUUUGAAGCCUUGAGAUCCAUAAUCUGACCCGUAUCCUAAACCCUCUUGUCGACCGAACCAUAUCUCAUUUCUUCGCUAUAGUCACCUCUUCGUUUCCACCACGAUAGCUCGACCACCUCUUCGGCUCAUUCUGCCGGAAUCUUCCCUGGAUUCCACCAUCCUCUGCCUUCCACAACCCAACUGAUACCCACUAUCCAAAAUUUUGUCCCAGUGACAAGCCUUAAUUAAAAAGAGCCAGCUGAGACCUUGGGGUCACCAUUUGAUUUUACAAUAUUCUUCUCAAAUUUAAGGUUUAUAGUGUUAAAAAAUAAUAAUCAACUUAUAUUUUAUAUGUAUUUUCUAUAGCAUAGACAAAUUAGAAUUGUUAUUGACAAGAGGAAAGAAAGCAACAUAGUACUAUAAUAAAUGUCUCAUCUUGACCGAGUAUUAUUACGAGUUAACUAUGUUAUUGAUCUUGUUCAAUGACAUGUUAAUGUGUCAUUGAAUGUAAAGUUUGACUAAUUACAAAGUAUCAAAGUAUUUCAUUCAGUUUUAUAGUUUGUUUUGCUGUAAAUAAAUAUGUUGUGUUUUGGGUAGAAUGCACUAAAUGAUCGAGUACUUUUUGUAGAUAUUUUUCUAUUGAAUGUUCCAUGCAAAUGACGAAUUUAUAUUCAAUGUUAUUAAAGACAAUUAACCUCGAAAAUCCCAAGUAUAUUAAAUGCCAUUUAAAAGAGUGACGACCAUUUUUUUCAAUGGAAACUAACUAUAGCUACAUUAAUUGUGGACAAAAGAUUUAGCCUCCAUUUGGCCCCCCUUUUUUUUCAAAUUUUAAUGUUUGGAAUAAUUUUUUCUAGAGAAUAUAUGGUUGAAAAAGAAGAAAUUUUUUUCGAUUUACGUGUAAUAUUAUUUUAUGAAAGAUUAUGUGAUUGAAAAUAAGAGAGGAAAAAAUGAAAGAGAAAGGGGGCCAGACAGGGGCUUAAUUUGUCAUUUUUACCCUAAUUGUUGAUUAAACAAUUGUUUUCAUUUAAGAUUGUAUGUUUUAUGUUUUAGGAUUUUAUACUAUUUGUUUAAGUUCUUGACGCAAUUUAUCUUUAUUGAAUGUCAAUUUAAUUUUAUUAUCUUUCUUUCUCACAUAUGACAUCUAUCUAGAGAUUUAUUGUUAUGCACAGUGGAAAUUUCAAGAGCACAUGAUGAAUGUAAUUGGUGUUGUAGACGAAUGACAUCCAUAAAACUUCAAAGUGAUAUAGUGUUUACUAUUUGAUGAUCUUGCCCAUGUAGUAAAGGAAAAUUGAACGUUGAUGACAAUAACUUUACUCUUAAUUUGAAGUUCAAUGUGUCAUCAUUCACUAUUGCCUCUAUCAACUUAGCUAACGAUGAGGACUUGUAGUGGUACAUUUUCUUGGACAAGAAAAUAGUAUUGCUUAGUAUUUAUUCCACGCAAUAUUGCGACGAUCAACAGGGAUUUAAGAUAAUAGGAAAUCGAUAUUUGCACAGUGGCCCAGUGCAUCAAUUAUCUAAGAUUCAUUUUCGAAAUAACGGCCUUCACCCCAUAGUUGAAGCUAUUCUGACACGGUAAACGCAACACAUAGAAAUGCUAGUGAUCAAAUUAAUGGACGUAGUCGUAUUUCACAUACUACUAUAUCGAUCGCCUAUACAGUGGAUGAGACAAACGAAACAUGGAUAAACUUCAAAAUCUAACAAAAAUGUCGUAACAGACAAUGCUCCUCAAGAUCAGCUACAUAUCCCAAACGUUAACGGUGGGAAUGCAGACGUGGACGAAAUCAAUUAAAGAAAAUGUGUUAGAUUAUCAAUUGGAUUGAUGGAUGAAUGCAUCCACUCAAAUAAUUAUUUAAUGUAGUCACGUUUUGUGUAACUAAGACGAUAAGGCAAUUCUUAUACUGCCAAUUUAAAAGAAUAUCAAUGAUUCCUUUUUUGUUACUAUUCAUGUAUGGGUUUCUCACGAAUGGACCAUUUAAUGUUAAAUCAUAACGGUUGGAUUUGAAGAAAAUGAGUUGUGAACAUCAUACAUGACCCUUACUGUCUAACCUGAGAAUAGACUAGUAAACUUUCUACUUAUUGAACAGAGUUCUAAUGUCGAUCUGUGACCCUGAAUGCCAAAGGUUUCAUUGAGGUGAUCUCAUAGUUCCUACGGGAAGGAGAUGAUGGGUCAAUCCAUGGAUUUAUUUCAUAACAAUUGAACUAGGAAAAUGCUGAGAUAUCAACAUUUUAAUCACAACUGCACACGUUGUCCAGAUCCUGCGAAUUUUUGCUCUGUUGAUCUUGAUUUAUCUUUCUAUUUUGGGUGAGUUUCUUCGUGCUGAUAACGUGUUAUAAAAGUAAAGGAAUAAGAGAAAAAUAUAGUGAAGAAAUAGAAAGAACCAAAAUUUAAAUGUUUAUAUUAUUAAGGAGUACCCCGAAUUUAUAAGACUCAUAAUGAGAGUUACAAUUAAAAAGUGGGGAAUUUUCAUAAAUUCACUAAAUUUGAAAAUGUAAAAAAAAAUUCAUUUUCACCAAAUUCUUCCAAAAAUGUCACUUUUUUGCUGCGAAAUGUCCAUAUUACCCUUUGUGACACUUUUUAGGAACAUUUAAUGCUUGAUUUGAAUGUCACUAAUGUUGUGAUGUGAUGAUUUGUUUUGUCUAUUAUAAAUAUCUGAGAUAUGAUUAUUAUAAGGGUAACAUAAAUUUUGAUAAAAAAAGGAAUUUGAAAAGUGAAAAAACACAUAAAUUCUGACCAUUCACAAACCCUACAUUUUUAUUCAUCCUCUUCAUCCCAUCAUGAACGAGUGAAAGUAAUUGAAUUGAUCAUCAAUUUUUGAAGGUUAGCUAUUAGAAAUUGUUUAUAUUAUCAUCUUAUAGUUUACUAUUUUAAAUGUUGAAUGCAACAUUCUCAUAUCUAUUUGAAAUUUUUGAAACUCUUAUUCAUUGAUUUGUUUGAUUUUCGAUAUAUUUUUUAAGAGAAAAUAUACCAAUACUGUCACACUCCCAUUCAUAUGGAUAACUAUCCAUUAAUCUAUGUAGGAAUGAAAUUGAUGACUCGACAUAAACAUAGAAUUUAACACAUUUUUUCACCUUAUAAAAUGACAUAAGCUAUGUCUCUAAACCAAAAUCAUAUCGCUAUAUAUUCUGAUGUUAUAAACAUGUCUACAUGCCAUGUCAAAAGAUAUAUAACACAGGAUUCCCAAUAUACAACACAAUAGGCCAUAAGCUCAAAAUAGCAGCUCACAAAAUAACCCUACAGGUCGCCAUCCAUGUACAUUGAACUCGGGAAUCCCGUAAGAGAUCCACAGCUAGCAGUGCUCUCUAUGUAGUUUCAGGCUCACCUACAAUGCAAGAACUACAUAAGUCAAUGCUGGGUAAACAAAAAUCAUGAAUGUCAUGAAUAUGAAUAAUAACGAUAUAUGCCACUAUGUCAUUUACUUUAAACAUCACGAUAAAGAAGCAUCAUAUUCCAAUAUUCAUCAAAGUUGACUCGAAAUCAUUUCAUUUGAAACUUUUCAUUUCAUCGGGCCCUUGAUUCACCUACUAUGCACAAGAUAGAGCUCUACAUAAUAGCAAUAUCAAUAUCAAUAAUCAAAUGACCAAUAUGAAAUCGACACCGACGAGUAUACCAUCCUUUCGUGACCACUAGAGGCCCAUCCCCUAACUGUCCCUAUGAUCACCCAAGAAGUCUUCCACCCGGCAGCGCCAAUAAUCAUAAUAUCACAAGGGCAUAGUUAAGUGGUCCAUCCUCCUGUGAUCACCAAAGUCACAUCCUUUGUCUACCUUUGCAACUACCCAAAGAGUAUCACCCGCGAUGCCAAACAUAUCAUAUAAGCAUGCCUCACAUGGUGCCUUAGUAGUGGUCAAUAAAAUAUUUAUAAAUAAAACUUAAUUUGAAAUCAUGUUUCACAUGCAGGAUUUUCAAUCACGAUUACAUGUCAUGCAUGCAUAUGAAAAUGCUCAUGAAUGACAUAUUUAAGAAAAUCGCUGUCAAUAGAUAUCGCAACCGUAUACUCAAUGACCAUAACCAUGAUAUGAUAUGCAAUGAACCUCUUAUCAAAGUUAUUUAAAUCUUCCAAUAUUACCACAUCAUAAUUACUAGGUUCUUGAAUCGUAGUUGCAAAUGAAUUUUUACUUAUCUUUCGCCUUUGUGUGUGCAAGCUCCUACGGAGUGUAUAUCAAUUUUCGUUUUCGCUAAACAUUGAAAAAUCACCUAUAUUACCAUCUAAUAUUAAGGACAAUCCUCAAUUUAAUAACCUUAACACACACAAUCCCAAAAUACAUCCAUUCACGCCAAAACAAUUUAGACAAAAUCAUUAUUGCAAAUUACCGAUGGCAUUACAAAUUAAUCCCAUAAUUCUCGCUAUUUUUUGAGUCCAAUUAUGAAUGUCAACGUCAUCCAAUUGUUGUCACUAGCCUAGUACCCCUUAGAAUCUAUUUUCUAGGCCCAAGAGAUCAUUAAUGGACAUAUAAAUGUUGAAAUCACAUUAAAAACCUAAAUGGACAAAAUCUGUUUUCAGAUUUUCAUUACCAUCCAAUUAUUUUUUCGAUCCUUUUUCACCUACUUAACUAUAUCCGAAAACUCCCAAAUUCAUACCACCCACCUAUAACAUAUAUAUGAAGAUAAUCAGGUCAUAAGUUUGUGACAAAUGAAGGGUUUUGAGCUUCAAAAAUACUCAAUUUUCCACUACACAAAAUCAGGCAGUUUUAUUUUCCUUGUGACAGUUUUCGGUUUCCAUUGUAUUAGUAUGAUACCAAUAGAAUUCUAGGCCAUUAAAAAUCAUUUCGAUACUUCAUACUUACAUAUAAAAAUGUUCAUAUUGAUAGAUAUAAGUUACACACUAAGUAUCAUCCCAAAAUCAACAUAUAAACCACCCAAAUCCAACAACCUACAUCUCUGCCCAGGUUGUUUUCCUUCAAGUUCUUGUAAGUAAUUACCCCUAUUUUGGUAUCAUAAAAUCAUUAACAACACUCCAACCUAAUCACAAGCAAGUUCAUAUGUUCAAGAAAUUAUAAACCCUUUAAGAAAAUAAUGGAUAAAAACCUCAAAUCAUGAAGUAACAAAGCUGUCUAGAAAUUUCAGGUUCUUGUUUUCUUUCCCCUUUUUGCUUCCUUUGCUUUCACGUCCACUCGGGGUCACUUGGGGUUAUCUUUGCAGAGUCAAAUCUCUUAUUUAGAAGCUAUUUAAGGGGUCUUAAAGAUUGGGGUCGUGAGUGAUACUUAAAGGUGAAGGAAUUUGUAAUUACAAGACAAGUAUUCCCCAAGCAUGAGGUAUACAAGCAGGAUGUGGCUCCUUGCAGCCAAAUCUGACUUUUCUCCUACCUUAUAUGGAGUCAUUUGUGAUUUAGGAGAUGCAUUUCUAUCCCAUAUAAAGUUCUAGGGAUUUAGAAGACGUGCUGGAGGCCUUAAGGUUGAAGCAAAUAUAUAUUAAAGUGAUAAGUCUCCUAGCAUGAGCUGUCUAAGUAGGAAGUGGCUUCUUGCAGCCAACUUUGACUUCUCCCUUGCACCAUAUGGAGCCAUAUGUGACUUAGAAGAGUUAUAACUAUCUUGUGUAAAGUGCUAAGGACUUAUAGGACAUGUUGAAGGCUUAAGGUUGAAGGAGUUAGAGAUUAAAGUGACAAGUCGUCACAUGUUAAGUAGAUGUUGUCUCCUUUGAUUAAAUUCUGAUUUCCUACUUAUUCGUGGAGGGUUUUUAUGAAAUUUAGGGAUAAUAUACCUCAUAUAAGAAGUCUUAAAGGAGUUGUAGACAUGAAUAAUGCUUAAAAGUGAAGGAAUUGACCAUUACAAAGACAAAUGAAUAGGCAUGACGUGUAUUACAUAUCAAGGUGUUCCUUAUAGCGAAAUCCAAUUUUAUAUCUAUCCUUGCAGGUAUAAAUCAAUUAUCCUUAGCUUAUUUUAAUGUCUUAAAAUCCAUUUUACUUGCCCAAAUAUCCCAAAACAUAUUAUAGAGCUAAUUUCUUAACUGUUCAUUUGAUUACUUACCCUAUUGAUACCCGAUUCUCGAUCGAUUUCAAUAAUUCGCACCUCCAUAUUUAUAACAUCAUAUAAAACAUUUAUUAUUAUGUCAUGAUCAUGUCACUUCAUGCCUCAUGUCCCAAAUAUGGCAAUUACCUAUCUAGGGUUUAAAGUGACCUCGAUAAGCCAAAUUGAAAGCUUGAACCUACGUCGAUACUAAUUUCCGGCAUUUCCAAUAUUACAUUACUUACCAAGCCAAUUUCUAAUAUUUAGUUAACCUAAUUUUCUAUCAUAGCUCAAUACAAAAUUCACCAUCUAGGUCGAGGAGUCGAAGGUUAUCCCCAUGUAAAAAUUAUAAAGCCUUAAUGAUCGAAUAUAUCAUUUUAAGAGAAAACAAUUAGAAAAUUGAUGUAAAUGACAAUGUAAUUAGCAUGAAAUACAUGAAUUAUAUUGGCCAAAUGUAUAACGGGAAGUUUGGGGUAUUACAAACAACCUCUAGAAAAUGUAAAGCAUUCCAUAUUAAAUGAAGCAUUGAGAUAUUCCUUAUUUUAUUUUUGGGAAGAUAUUGUGAUAUUGUAGUUGAGAAUUGAUUAUCACCAUUAAUAUUUUUAAUAAUUUUUUUCCAAAGAAUCAAACACAUGUUUUUCAAGCUUUCCCGAAAAUUAUGGCAAUUCAACUAUCGAAUGGUAUCUUCGAAAUUGUUGGGUUAGAUAUUUGAACUAUCGAACUCGACAUUUACAAACUGUUGGGGAUUUCGACACUUAAAAACUGUUGACACCCUUUCUUUCCCUUUUUAGUAUUACAUGGCUCUAGAUAUUCAAAAGCUCCAAUUUGAUGGUAUUAAAUAUGGACAUAUAGAAUGUGUAGAAUUCUCACAUUUGCAAUCCCAACAUUUCAGGUAUGAGUCAUCAUUUGAGAUUUAUCGUGUCGCAUGAGGAAAGUUUAUUCACGUGGAUGAUAAAUGGAAGUGGAGAGAGGACAAAACCACUUUUAUUUUAGCGUCAAGAAGUAUUACCGUAGCCGAACUUGUGUUACGGUUGAAGGACAAAUUUAGUAUUGUUGAGCCCCGCACUUAAAUUGAAUUAAAGUUCAAAGUCCCAAACUUAGAUAUACCUCCGACAGAAAUACGCGAUGAUGAAAACUUAAAUUGGUACAUAUCUGUUCAUAAGAAAAUUGCACUGUGUUAUUACGUUGGAAAUCGAGCUCCCAAGUGUUGCCAUGGGGAGGGAUGCAAAGUGUGCAGGGAAUUUGUUCGUCUCAGCGGAUGUGUCCCAGAAUAUACAACAUGAUGAGCUCAAUCAUUAACAUAAUAUGUCGAACAAUAAUGCACAUGAACCUCCAAUUGUUGAUAUCGAGACUUAAGCAUUAAAUGAAAACUUCACACACCCUUUACAUGGUACAGAGGGUGAUAAUAUUGCUAACAUUGACAACCAAAUAUCAUCACAUUCCAUAACUUCAGGCAAAUAUGAUUGGAUUGCAACUGUGAAAACAUCUGUUCUCGCUGAAAAAGAAAUAUUCUUUAGCAAAAAAUAGUUGUACUCGAAGAUUCAUGUACUUUCUUUGCAAGACAAGUUCCAAUUUAAAAUCAAAAAGUCAAGCAUGAAAAUGUUAAUCGUUGUAUGCACGGAUGAUAAUUGUAAGUGGAUACUACGUGCUUCGACUGUCAAGCAAUCUACAGUCUUCAUGAUCCAUAAAUUGAACAACGUCCACGCAUGCUAAUACUUCUGUAAUUGUUAAGCACAUUUCGAAAAAACUGGAUAAUCCUUACUGACCGUAUGACCCUACCAUUAUGCAAGUGACAUGGAACGUGAGUUCGAUGUAAAAAUCAGUAACAGCAAAGCACAUAGUGGGAAGGUGGCUACUUUGCAUACGCUAUAUAGUACACUGGGAGACAAUUUUCAAAAACUAUCUUUAUACUGUCAUGUCCUAGGAAAGAGUAACUCGAAGACAGUAACCCACAUCUAGAUUGAUUCUCGUAAUAGAUUUCAUUACUUCUUCCUAGCUUUCAGUGCAAGCAUGCGUGGUUACAUGUAGUACUUGAGGCCCAUUAUUUAUGUUGACGACAGUCACUUGAAAGAUCUAUAUAGAGGUACACUUCUACUAGCAAAUUGUCCAAGAUGUCAACAAACAGAUUUAUCCCUUAGCAUGGAGGAUCGUGGAUGUUGAAACAAAUAAAUCCCGGAUGUGGUUAUGUCAAACUUGAAAGACCUUAUAGGUGACUCGGAAGAAUUCGUAUUUGUUCCAGACAGAAAAAUAGUAUUGAGAAACCAAUUACUCGGUUAUUUUCAUUAUCUCAGCAUAGUUGUUGUAUCUGGAUAUAAAAAAAGAACUUAAUACAACGGUACAACAACGUAAGUGCAAUAUUUCUAUUCAAACGAGUUGCUACAACUUAUCGGGUCGAAGAGUUAAAAAGACUCAUGGGACAUAUUCGUAGGGUGAGUAAAAGAUAGUAUGGGUACUUGGAGAUAACAAGUUUUUCUUUUCAAUCACGAUUACUAUUUAUUGGCCACCAAUACAACAUUAUGACAAACAACAAUGCAAAUCUUUGAACUCGAUGUUGAGACAAGGCCGUUCAUUACCAAUAAUCUACUUGGUCGAACACAUUAGGAGUACUAUGCAGAAGUGAUUUUACGAACAUCAAACAAAUAUGAUCGAAUGCAGUACCAUAUUAUUGUCGAGGAUGGAGAAUAAGUUACGAACAACAUUCGAAUCUAAUAGUAUGCUUCGUGCUCAUGUGUUGAUAGACAACUUAGCCCAAGUUGGAAUAUCCAACGACACGGACGUAGUAGAAUUUUUCGAAGACACCUACAAGUGUCGUGAGUUCCAACUAGAUUGUAUGACAUUCGUUUAUGUAACUCGUGCUGCUUGCUUAAAAAGGAAGUCUUUGUACGACUUAUGCUCCCCUUAUUAUACAUCUGAAUGCUAGUUGGGUGCUUAUAGCGAAGCCAUAUAUCCUGUUUCGCGGAAAGUGGACUAGGUUGUUCCAAACUUAAUUACAUGUACUCAUAUUUUGUCACCCAUCGUAUGUCAUCCUUUAGGUAGACCACCGACACGGCGUAAACGUUUCAGAUGCGAGUCAGCCACACGGCUCACAAAAUGUACUUGUUGUGGUUCAGUCGAUCAUAACCGGACCACAUGUUCAAACCUCAAUAUAACACAUGUUUCUUAGAUAGUCGCUCCAUGUUGUUGACAUUGUAUGUACAAUGUUUCCCUACUGCGUUGUAUAUUAUCAAGUUAUAUUAUUAUUUUCUUAUCAUUAUCAUUUGCGGACGUUAUUGCUCUUAUGUUGGCAUAAAAAUUAUAGAUCCUUAUGUUGACGACCUGCACAACAUCCCGACAAUUAAACUGUCGGACCCAGUAGAUGUUUUCUUCAUCCGCGACACAAAUCGCAAAGUAGAAAAGUUCACUGAAAAUGUACAAAAAGCAAAAAAGAUAACGAAAAGGUAAAUUAUUGAUUUCUUAAAAAAGAAUAAAAGAUAAUGAAAAAGUUAAAUUGCUGGCUCUUUAAUACAAAAGACACUCCAACUCUAUGGUUGUUAAAAAUAAUUCAACCACAAUUGAAAAUCUUCUAUCACAAUCAUGAAAUGCGAAUUCUAAUUUUAAUCCCCACCAAAUAAAUUGAAAUUAGUAAAUUGUACAAAGUGAACUCAAUUGACACAUAAAUGAUAAACACCACUAAUGUUAAAUAAUAUUACUAUGGAGAAAGUGAGGAUGACAAUUAGCAAAAUUGGAUUGAAUUAUUUUGAACAAUUUAACAGUUGAAGUGCUUUUUGAACUUUUUUAAAAAAUUAGCAAACAUGCCUCUUUUUCCUUAUCUUUAUUGCUUAUCAUGCUUAUAAACUAAAAAUUUCACUGAAGCAUACAUACUUGUCGUAAUGGUAUUUUCAACUUAAGGUGUUCUCCAGCGCAUUAUCAAUUUACAUUUUUUAUCUUCAACUUAUAUCGUCAUUAUCAUUCAAUUACCGUUCGCGGACAGGCCAAUACAUGUUCAACUUCACAAUCAAAAUACGAAUUCAUGGACAACAUAUUGCAUGACAACCCGACAAUUCAUCUAUUGUUCCUAACAGAUUGUUUCUGUCAUUCUCAACACUUGGACUGUAGUACAAAAUAUACACUACACGUAAGAGGCAUAGGGAAUAUGCCUAUGCUGACUCUUUGGUAAAGACAUUACCAAAUUCAUCCCUACAAAAGAGAGAGUAUACAUAACUUAUUACACUACAUUUUAUUACUGUACACUUUAUUCGAGGUCAACAUAUGAACAUUCUCCUCCACUUUCUUCAUUAGAAUCAUCCGAUGAGAUGACAAUUACCUCAGUAGGUGGGACGUACACCAACCAAUCAUCGUUGGAUUCAUCUUCUUCCUAGCCAUGACCUCGAACACCAUAUCCAUCACACUGUUCGGUGUCUGUGCCUCUUCAAUCACAACUUCAUCCUAGUUGGGAAAAGGAACAAUGGAAAUGGCUCUUCUACUAGUCCGAGAAUUAACUUCAUCAUCAUCCGACGAAAUGUAGAUUGAAAAUAAUGAGGAUGAACUGGGAAUUGACAGAGGCUCAUUCAAGUUAAAUGGUUCGUUGCUUUCCGUGGACGAACUUAUGAUGUCAAUGUAAUGCAGCCGCUCAAACAAUUUGUGUAUGUGAGAAAUAUAAAGUCUCACAAUGCUCAUAGUGUUUACAUGUAACUCAAAUUGAAGUCUUCCUAUUUAUAAUCAACUUGAAGGGGAAGCAAUUAUGGUUAUUUACUACCCAACCACCAAGUCCAAUCUCAUCUAAAUUUGAAAAGCAGUUGGUAUGAUGGUUCAUCUAUAUAAGUGUAACUUUAUUCCCCAUUUUUCCAUAAUUAAUAGGAAAUUAUAACUCUUAAAUCAAGUGUACAAUUUCGUCUUCAAGAUUCUUGCAACUUUCAUUAACACAUUUGUAAAUUAAUUGUAGCAUGGUUGUCAUGGCUUUGGCAUAUUUAAAUGGCUCAUCAUCAUAACAUAAUCAUAAAAUGAUAAUGAACUUUUUCAUUGAUCCAGAAAGAAGAAACUUAUGGUCAUAGGAAACUAGAAUUACUAGUAAGACGCUCAUGCCUUCAUCGAAAAACAAAUAAUCGUGUAUAUAGCCAUUCAUCACUUGCAAAUCCAAGCAUCAGCCAUUAACUAACCCCCACACAGCUGAUGUUCACUUAUCGCGUUACAACUUUCAAACUAAGAAACGGUAGACCAACUUGAAGAACAUGGAUAAUAUUGCCAACAUUUUACCAUCAUACAAAGCUACAUUUUUUUUUCAAACAGUAUCCAAGGGCCGAGCGUUUCAUAAUGGAGUUUAGUCAAAACCUUUAACAAUAGUCUGCUUAAUUUCCAAGUAUCAAUGUCACAGAAAAUUCACCAACAGACGAAAAUAUUACACAAUAAUGGGAAAUAAAAAGGUUCUUCCAUACGCUGUCCUUGACAGUAUAUACGCCAAUAAUGCAAACUUCGUUGAACGUUUUGUAACAGUUCACUUGGCCACCAUGCCUCAUCUGAAGAAGCUCAUGUUUUCGCAACGACUGUUCAAAUAAAUGCUAUAAAUUAGCCCCAAUAUCAAUGAAUUACAAAGCCAAGUGAAGAAAUGCAAGACAUUUCAUUAUGAAUUUUGCAAGGCCAAUCUGUUCAUUAUUUGUAAUGGAAGUCAAUUAUUUCACGCAAUUUGUCACGAAUCCUCCAAAGCCAUAUAGAUCUCAUUAAGAGCUUCAUUCACUUCAUCGUAAUCUAGUUCUACAUUACCAACAUGGACAAUUAUAUAUUUGAAUUGCAUAUGAUUUUAAGCUUAUAGAGAAUGACUCAUGACAAUGACGACAGCCUAAUAUAAAACAAAUGACGAAGAUUAUAUCCGUGAUUAAACUAUAUAACAUACGAAUGUGAAAACAAUAGUAGGCGUUACCAAAUAGCCAACUGCCCUAAUUAAAUAACAGGAAACCAACAAAAAUACUUAGACAACUAAGCAGAGAUUAAACCCAGCAUGAGUAACCAUCCACCCAUUGUAACGUCAUCCAUGAACAAACAAACAAUGUUAAACAAAAACUAAAUCGUACUAAUCAUAGUAAAGCUUUUGCUGCUCCAAAAAGUAGUGUUCACGCAACUAUACUGUCAAAUAACGACUUUCUCAUCCUAUGUCAACAUACAUCGUCUCACCUAUUUCUUUGUUUUCUUUCCCCUUGUGUAUGGAGUUUUGGUACAAGGUGCUGGACGUUGAAGAUGUGUUGAACGCCACCUCUUUGUGGUAACAUUGCCUCCUUUUUCAGGUAUAGUGUCCUCAACUGGCAAUUCAGCUGCACCGUCUAUGCAAAAACCAAAUUGGCGAAAAUAUUUAGCCGAAAUAUGAACAAGUUAAUGUAGCAUAAGAUAGACACGUUUCCAAUACGAAACUUACCAUCCACCUCUAUCUCGCCACAAAUCGAAAGGACUUCAUCGUUUUUGGGGCACGGUUGUUUGGGGUCUAUGCCUUCUCUAUCUACAUGAAAACAACACACUCAAUAUUAAAUGACAUGGGUCAAUAUUUAGUUUUCAGACUAGGGAAAUACUAGUGCGAGUGUAAUCAUAUUGUUGGUAUAUUUUCUCAUAAUUAACGCAUGUACCGUUCAUGUGAUGCACUUCAGUACCAAACGGAUCGUCAUGGUCAUUUGAGAACACGUUGAUGUCUCCUCCAUCUAGUUGACAAACAAUAAUUGCAAUUAUAUUACUGAGUUCCAUGGUUGACAUUUGCGUAGAAAAUGUACAGAUGUCAUGAAUUAGAAUUGUUAAGUGUAAUAUAAUUAACGUACAUAUCUUGCGGUUUAUGGGUCUCAUUAGGCAAUGGAUCGUCAUGUUCAUGCGGUGGGACGUCGUCUCCUCCGUGCAUGUUUAAGUCACAGUUGCAAUAUUAACAAAAAUGUUAGCGAUACAUUAAAUGAAAACUGCUCAACUGGCGUUAUAUGUAUGGAUAUGAUCUUCUAACCAAGUAAAAUACAUGACUCGAUUAUAAAUUACUUGAAGGUUUGGGCUCAUUCUCGAUAUCAGCCGCAUCUGCACUGGCGGUCGAACCGGGUGGCGACACGAGGGUAAAUACGAACUCCCCGAAUCUUGUAAAUUCGGAGGUCAUGUGUUAACUGAUUUCAAGCAUCAUGGUCUAGAGUCGCAUUUCAAUGAUGAUUCUUUGAUCCAACAGCAUUUCCUCAACAUCCGCUCUCGUCAAGCUUGCUCCAAAAGCUCUAGCUGGUCAUGUAUGUGUUGAUGUGUAUGCAUGGAAGAAGAAACUAAUGGUGCUCAUGGAAGACGUGCCCUCCGCGGGUAUGCUUACUGUCAUUGUCGUCGUCGGUGGACCCGUCACCGUUUUCGUCUCCACUAUCUUCAGCACUUAAGUCGUCACAAUCACUAGCCAACGACCCAUCGUGGUCAUCAGGUCCAUUCAGGCCGCUUCUACUGGAUUGUCCAUCGUCGGAUUUCUCCCUAGACGGGUGGUCAUCACCUCCAUUGUCGGAGCGCUCUACAUGAAAUUGUGGAGUGACAAUGUUCCUGAUAAUGUCAUCCAACACAGGCACGGUAUGAUCUUCGUAAUGCACAAGAGUGGAGACAUACAGGAGCUCACGCUUGACCUCGGUGGGACGCAGUGUUGGAUACAUGUGCAGCUCUAAAAUAAGGAAUUGAGUGUCAGUGAAAAUGUUUUGUACACAAUCGAGGAAUGAAAAGACUGACUACAUUCAAAAUCACAAUGUACUUAUACGUUCUUGAAGAAUAUCUCGUACGCUGUGGUUGUUUUGUAGACGACCAGCUAAGAAGUUGUGGCAUUCGUUUAUCGAGCCUCUGACCAAAAUGUUCACAAGUUUCAAAAGGGCCUCAUACGUCCAUAUCUGUCAUAGCAAAAAAUCAAUAUGACAUGACUCUCCAUAGGCACGGCAAUAUAUUUGCAUUGAAAUAAUGAAAAAAUCAUGAAAAAUAAAUUAUAUUCAUACCUAAAUGAUAAUGGAAAAGCCAUGAACUAUAUAAGUUAUCUCUUCUCCUUCUUUCUCUCUACCUAACGAAAUCUUCUUACCCAACUAUCCCAAAAUCCUUUCAACAUAUAUCUGUAUCCCACUUUAUACCAAGGAUAGGCAAAAAAGGUAUCGAGGUCGUCGAUGAUUGAUAGCAUGUCCCUAUCGAUACUCACAUUACUAUCCGGAGCAUUGAAAACUCUUUCGACAAUUAGAACCAGACCGAGCUUGUAUCGAUUUGCUUAGGACGUUGAAGGUCGGAGAGAAGUAGUCUGGAGUUGCGCACACGAAAUCUUGUCAAUGAUUUGAAGUACUUCUCUUUCAUUCUUCAUUUCUAGAGCACUCAAGUGAAGUAAUCGCACUCCUACAGACUGAACCUCAUCAUGUACUAUUGUACGUUGAACCACAACUCAUUUGUCUUAUCAGUUCGAAUGAAUCUGAAUACUAGUUGUUGGAUAAGUUGGGCAAAGAAUUAGAUUUCAGGAACUUCGGCUAAGAACACGAGGCAUAAAUUGUGGAAAACCUCACGUUGUCAUUCGUCAAAAUGCUUCGUCACCGUCUUCACAUACUUCAAGUUGCUUCGUUGUGAAAUGUGAGCCCCCAGCCGUGUAUUUUUCGGAACUUGGAAUUCAAAAUCCAUCUGUGCUACAAGGUCAGUGAGAAAAAGAAAGGUUAGAUCAUAAUAUGAUGUACAUGUCGAUGCCAAGCACCCAUGUCACACUCGAAUGAACCAAACAUUAUAAUGUAACACAUGUGAAACAAUAAUGUGUAACACACAUAAAAUUGUAUGCGUAACUGAUGUAAUGUUCGAAUGAACCCUAUUUUUGUUAGAUGAUUACCAAAACUACUAGUUCUUAAUGGUCGAAUUGUCAUGGGAAGCUGACAUCAACCGUCGGUAUGAAUAGUUCAUCUGUCGAUAUUGAUAGUUAAUAUUGACAUAUGACUAAAAUAAUCUAUCAGUAUGCAACCAUCUGUCGAGAUUACCAGAGGUGAACUGUUGGGAACGAUGGUUCAAUGUGAUGUCAUCUGCCUACAGAAGUCAGCUGUCUACUGAAAUAAACACAUGGGAAAUAUAAGUUUUACAUCCAAAGCACCAUAACUUAAAACGAAUGCAAGGUAUGAUUUUGUAAUUCUUGCUUAAAGCCAUUUGUAAAACAAAUGGGAAGAAAAACAGUUUUUGGGAAACAAUUUCUUUCGAUAACCAAAUCAGCUACAGAUUUCUGACCAUUCAAGUUAUCCUACUUACUGUCCAAGAUAGGAAAAAAAUAAUAAGAAGUGACCAUAAAAAAAGUCCCAAUAUAAGACAACAACCCAAAUGUGUGCAAGUGAGACCAAUUAGAUCGCGUGUGCUGAAAAAAUUGAUUACUCUGUUCAAUCCUAGUAGAAGACUGACAUAUCUUCAAAUUAUAGAAGCUUAUAUGACAUUCAUAGAUCAACGGAGGCUGGAUAAUUAUGUAAUUUUGUUUUAGUACUUGAGAAAUUGAAUUGUGUGAUGCAAUCUAAUCCUACACUUUAAUGCACCAGGGGCCUACAAAUGAUGCAGUAUUUAUUUCGUUUUCAUAUUAUUUUCUUAUAAUUUCUUGAACGCUCAUUUAAUGUUCAUAUUUUAAGAACAAAUUGUAGCUCAAUUUCCCAUAUUUUAUAUAUUCAAUUACAACCUAUUUCUUUCUACGAAACUAAUUCUGAGAAGUUGUGGAAUGAAAUAAGAUGUUAAACUUCAAGAAUAAUGAAAUAAAGGGAUUAUUCCCUACAGGACUGUUCAUUAUUUGAUUGUCGGGGCUCGAAGUAAAGUCCAAAUUAAUCCCUUGCGAAAUUAGUGUAAAUGCAAAAUCCAAUGCAUUCGCAUAGUUGUUUUUAAAAUAGCGGUAAAUAUCCCCUGGUUGACUUCGUGUUAAUGUAAUGUCAUUUCGUUCCCGUUUUCUCUUUUGAACACUAGACUCAUAAUGCUAGGAGGCAUGGUGUAUGAGUCUAUAUCUAAUGCCUAAUAAUUAACCUAAAAGACAAAUAUAAAAUAUCUCAAUCAUCUCACAAUCAAAGUUUUCAAUGUAGUUACUACGUGCGCCUGUGAAAUUGAUCAUACAAUAACCAAUCAUAUAAGUCGAAAAUGUUUAAAAAAUUUUCAUUAUAUUCAAUAACAUGUUAAGGCAAGUUCAUUACUUACCUGAUUAGUAGAAUUUCGACAAAAAAAUAUGGAAUCACACCCUUAAGAAUUUCAUCGUCACAACUCACAAGCCUGAAGUAAAAAAUUAAGAUCAAACACUAAUUCAAAUGUAUAAUUCUAUUGCAUUAAAGCCAGGUUCAUUUACCGACAAAACACUGAUGUGAUAUUUUCCACACACAUCUCACUAGUUACCUAGUGCAAGAUCAUGAAAAGUGUCUACCUCGACUAGUUAGAUCUCCAUAUUUGAGAACAAAUUCGAAUUCAUGACUAAUUGAAGAAAUGAAAACAAAAAGAAGCAUGAAAACAUAAUAAUAAAAAUAGAAAUACACAAGUUGCAGGAAAGUUGCUCACAUGAAUCGUAGAAGGGAACUGUUUACCACUCUCCAAAGAAAUGGUUCAAAUGAAGAGCAAAGCUUAUGAGAGUAUCGACCUUCAGAGCUUCCACAAUAACACCGCAAACAACACACUACUUUUUGAAGAACGCAAAUAUUUACUUUCCUUAAUUGUACUAUAUGUAAAUAAAAUGUAUGAAUAAAUUUGAAGAGAAAAUAAAUGGAAAAAUUAGCUCAAAAGGAUCACUUUUGAGGGAGGAAAAGAUUUUGCAUAAAUUUUUAUUGUACAGUCUUCCAGUUCAAUGGCUGCUAUCAAUCAUCAAGCAUUUUUAAGUCUUACAUGGUCAAGCUAAGAAAUCUUAAUUAAAUUUCAGUUUUAAAUAUUCAUCUAAGGGACUACGCAACAUUUGUAUCCAAUUCCUACGUCAAUUUGCAGAAAUAAUGAUAACUCCCCAACAAUAAAAUUCAUGUAUGAUUGACUUUUGUACUUCAUUCUUAUUCUGAGUGAGUAAGGUCUAACAAACAUUCGAAGUCCCAUGAACACACAAUACGACUAUUGAAAAAGUUAGAAUUCGUUGACGAAUUGAAAAAAAACGCAUCCAGAUACAAACAUUUACCUUUGUGAUAAAAGAAAGUCAUACAAAAAACAACUAUCCCACGUCAGCUAGAUCAAAUUCAGCUUAGUGGUACAUGAAAUUUUCUUUUCCCUUUCAAUUCAUCUAAUCAAUCAAUAAAUAAAUAAAAUAAAUAAAACGGCCAAAAAUGAGGCCUUUUGCAAUUUUCGCCCUGAGGCAGAGGCCUCGUACGCCUCACUGCAGCUUGCAAGAUCUACUUUGCUUCCCUACUAAACUAGUCAAAUGGAAACAUAAGAACACAUGGUGUUUCAUAUUCAAUAUGGUGCUUCAUAUUCAUAUUCCUCUUUUUUAGAAAAUGCAAAAAAAGAAAAGAAACACCAGCCCCAAUAUAUUAGUGACUGUUUUCAUUGGCAGUGGAGUGAUUCAUAGUGAUCGAAGAUGGUUGGGCAUAAAAUGAUUCCAAUGACAGAGGGGACAUGGUGCUCGGUUCCGGCUGAUUUGAAUGACAGAGUAGGUGUGAGUAACAAUAUUGACAGUGAAGGACGUUACUCUGGUCAUUGACGACAAGGAGGGAGAUGGGCGAUUCCAGUGGACGAGGGUGGGCAUUUGUUUUUCUUCUUCUUUUGGGCAUUUCACCUCUUCCUUCCACUCUUCUUCUUUUUAUUUUAUAUUUCCACUCUUUCAUAGUCAUUUACUAUCGUGACACAAUUUUGGUACAAUCUUUUAUCUAGUCAUAUCAUCUCAUUUAAUGAAGAGCAUAUAAGGUAUUCAAAUUAUUCAAAGGGGCAAUAAUGUCCAAAAUUGAUAAUUUUGUAAGCACUUUAAAAAAGUGACAUUUUUGUAAAUGCAAACUCAAAAUUUGACAUUAAGCUGACAUCUAGUUUAAUUUCCACUUGAGCAAGUAGACAGACAGACAAAAAAAAAAAAAAAAAAAAAAAAAAAAAAGCAGUUGUUGAAUCCAAAGAAAUCCCAAAACUUUAUGUUGGAGGUCUCCAGGUACUUUUAUUUCCAUCCACACACAUAUAUUUCUUCCGUUUGAGCAUUAAAAGGCCAAAUUUGAGGACCACUUUACUUGUUGUUUUCGUACCUCUUCAACUUCAAGUGCAGGAUCAUUGAUUGCAGAAACCCUCACAAAAUCUCUGUUCCAACAUCUGUAAACUUCUGUUCAAUAAAAUGUUGCCUAAACAACAGAGGAAGAUUCCCAUCUCCGCCGAGGUAGUCGACCUUGAUAGCAGCGACGAUGAAGGCGCCGCCGUCGCAGAAUUUUCAGAAAAUGUCAACAAAUCAUCAAAUAACGUAAAUAUACGAAGCAAACCACCGAAUGCUCAACCUUCCGACCCAAUUGAUGACAACGCGAAUUAUAGGUCGUUCGAAUCUCGAAGUUUCUGGAAAGCUGGCGCUUAUGAAAUUGGCCCCUCUAAAUCUACUUCAUUUCAAGGUGGGUUCUUUAUUAUUAUUAUUAUUAUUUUAAAUGUAUUCGGGGCGCAAGGAUAUGUAAAAUUUUUAGUUAUUUCCUUUCUGCGUUCUUGGAUUUUGUAACUGCAGGUGAUUUGGAGCACGCUCGUGUUCACCCGAAGUUUCUGCAUUCAAAUGCGACCUCUCAUAAAUGGGCAUUUGGGGGUAAUAUUACUGUUCUAAGCCUUUUCUUAUUGUUCAAAUAUGAGAAUAAUUGAUUUUUUCUGGUUUCAUUAGGAUUAUAAGCCUGCACUAUCGAAAUUGGAUUAGAAUUAAACAGAAAAUAAUGUUUCAUGCAUCCUCUGUGCCAAGUAUUAAGCUAAUUUUAUGAUUUACAUGAGUAUACGUUAAUCAAUAAUUGGCAACGCAUAGAGAUAAAAUAAGAAGAAAGAAACAGAAUCAAAUGAUGCCGUCAGGUUUGUGCUGCAAUUUCUGACAUGUUAAUCAUGUGUUGCAGCAAUAGCUGAGCUCUUGGAUAAUGCUGUGGAUGAGGUAAUUACCAUAAUUUUUUGAGUCGUUGGUCAUCACUUUCUUUCUGAUAUAUGGUGCCCCCAUUCGAGCCCUAUUUUUUGGGGUAAAUGAGAUUUGUAAUAGUGAUUUUUUGGAGAAUGUGGGGGUUGCGUGGUUGAAAAUAAGUUUUUAAGGAAUGGGGCUCAUACAGGGGCAAAAUUUUAUAUGGCUUCAACAGGGGGCAAGAUCCUAUACUGGAUACAGCUAUAAUUUUUCUCAUCUAUUGUGUGGAUGAGAUUCUCAUCAAAACAAGGCUUAGUUUAUGUUUUGUUGUCGUUGACUUGUUGUAUUGUGGAUGGUAAAUCAGAUUUGCUGAAUUUUGAGGUACAUAUGUGCCACUAGGGCCUUGUAGUGUUCAUAAAUUGAGAAUUCAUUUGAUUCUCUGAUGCAUUAUAAAUAGGAUAUACUUCCCAAAAUCCGUCUCGCAUGAUAUCUGUUGGCUUUCUUCCAAAUACUGGAAGGUGGAGCAUUACUUUGGCCAUGUAGAUUAUGGCAUGUGUGUCUUUCUGGUUUGUCUUGAAAUGUUAAUCAUUUUGCUGAAUUUUAGCUUGUGUAUUCAUUUUUCUAAGCAUGUUUAAGCCAUUUCAGUAUAGUAGAAUUUAUAGUUUUUUGCUAUGUGUUGUUAUUUGGCAAAAUAGGACUAAUUUUAUAGAAGGGGAAAACCGAAACCAUAACAGAACAUGAUUGUUUUCCUGAUGGUUCAACUCAAUGAUGAUAUUUUUUGAAUUGAAAAGAGGCAAUUAAUUGAUCGUGUAGACUAAUUUUACAUCAAAACUUUAUGCAUGCAUGAUUCUAUGUGCCUGUAAACCAGAUGCAAAGUGGAGCGACUUUUGUGAAGGUUGACAGAAUUUAUAACGCAAAGGAUAAUUCUCCUGCCUUACUUUUUCAAGGUGUAGUAUUUUUUGUCUACAGUUCAUUUAUUCAUAUCAUGCAUUUCUAGAAUUUGUGUUAUGCAAAGUAGUUGAUAAAUUUGAAUACUUUGUGCAGAUGAUGGUGGUGGUAUGAAUCCAGAAGGCAUUCGGAAAUGCAUGAGCUUAGGUUACUCUUCAAAGACAUCCAAUACAACAAUUGGGCAAUGUAAGCAAUACUUUUCUCAAUUUUUAUUUUUUUAUUUUUUGAAGAAAUAAAAAUUAUUUCUGUAGCAGUUAGUCCAUGUGUUAGAAAACAAAGUGUUCGCAGAAAAAUUGGAAUCUACUUUCAUAGUGAAGAAGGAUGAAAAGAGGCGCUUUUUGGUAUGGACAAUUUGCAAGUUUUAGUCAGACGCAGCUUUUAUUCUUGUUCUCGGAUAUUCCUAAAUCAGAAAACUUCUAGUAUUGUGUGCUAGUAAAUACACGUGAAUGUAUUUAGCAUCAUCGUUUAAUGGUAUGAGAAUCUAAUCUUUUUACUAAAAUGAAAAAGAAUAAAUCUUCAACAAGUUUUUGGGGAUUAAUUAAGACAACAAAGUAAAUACACAUAUCCACAGAUGCUGACCAUGAGAUUUGAAUGUUACAAUCAACAUUGACCCCAUAAAGGAUCAAAUGAAAUGGUAUACAAACUAGAACUAAUGUGGAUCACCUCAGGAACAAUUAGCUUCAGGAUGCUUCUUACAUUGAAACAAUGAUUAUGUGUGUUGAUGAAAUGGCUUUUAGUAAGUGAAGAAAUGUUUGGUUUCUACAGCAAUGUGUCAAAGCUGAGACUAGAAACUUCUCCCUAGUUAUGCCCCUUAGAUGGUAGGAAUAUAUUGUCCCAGUUGAUGUUGAAAACCUUUACGUUGAAAACCUUGUUUCUGGCUACUGUAGUAGCCACUCUUAUUUACCCUGAGGCUCAGAAGAAUUAUUGGCUUUUAUUCUGCAGUAGCAAUUGAGUUCAUAGUUCACUGGUAUAUGGCACAAUGGGGCUGUUGAGAAUUGAAUUGACUUUUAUAAAUUGAUAUAGAUCAAUAUGGAUUAUCAUAUGAAGUAAAGGAUAAUUUGAUGCAAGAGAAAGAAAAUAAGGAUUCAUGACUUGUAAUGAAAUAAUGAACCGGAAGGUGAACCUUGACAAUUCGAAAGAGGAUAAUAUAUUCCUUACUUUAGAAUAAUAUUUCUCUUCAACUUUAAAGCAUAGAGUACCAAAACAGGGAGUUGUACAAUAAAAUAUAUUUGAAAAGUUGGGGAACGUUAUGUGUGAAUUUAUUACAACUGUUUUUUGUUAUGAUAGAGGUAUGAUUUAAUAGCUAGACAGCCAAACGAGCUUCUGAUGUUGCAGUUUCUGUGGUAGCACAGUAGAGCUUUUCUGCGUAUGGCUACCGAGUCAUUUGGCCUGUCUGUAGAUGCAUGCAUGUAUAUGAAUAGAUUUAGGUAUGUACUAAUUAGAUGCCGGAAGGAUUGGAUUUUAUGCCGGGUUUUGUUCGUUAUAAUGUAACAUUUGUUUUGCAUUUUAGUUUGCUCAUUGUUUUACAUUCCUGUAAAACAUUCUGGCUGAAACCUGUUUUGCAUUCUGAAACUGGGUAGAAGCUACUUUUUUCUGAUAUAAGGUCAAUCCUUAAGUUCUAACUUUUUGCAAUCUGACAUAAGCUGCCCGAAGAGAAAAAGAUGACAUGAUUGUAAAUAAGGAGAAGUUGAUUCAUGACUUUCUUGUCCUCAGAUAUUUCUUUUACUUCAUAAACACUCUUCAGUCUUCAAAUUUGUAUAAAAUGACAUAAGUUGAAAAAGGCCAAUCCACUGUCCCCUGUCCUACCCAAAACAGAAAAUAUAAUAAAAUUUGUUGUUCAUUCCUACAUGCUUACAUCAUGCACCCAAUUUUCUAUUUACUCUUCCAAUCAUACUAUUUGUUACACAAAGAUGUUGAGCUUUAUUUGCAAUAAAUUUUGGGUGAAUGAGAUCUUCUUUAUGUCAUACAAGAUAUGUCAAAACCACCUUAACCGUCCAUCCCUUAAUCUAUGUCAAUUGGUGCCAUGGAAUAUAUUCUUACAUAUUAUCUAUUCUAUACUUUGUCUUAGCAUUCUCAUUGUGGCUACAUUCAUAUUAUUCAUAUUUUGUCACUGUCUAACAUUGUCUACCAUGAUAUAUAGCUGGUCUAAAACGUUCUGUAAGUCUUGCAUUUUAACCUUAUAGUUAUCUUCUUAUCACAUAGACUUUCUGAAGCUACGUCCUCAUUGAGUCUCAUUCCUUGUUAAUAAUUGGACGAAGGACAUAAAGCGCUGAAUCUUUUUUUUUUUUUUAUAACCACGAGUGUUCAGGCCAACUUACGUGCACCUCGAUUAAUUCCACGAGGCCCUAAAGUUUACAGUCGGGUACUCACCUCAGUGGCCUUGAGCGGACUCAAACUGGUGACUAUUGGGGAACAAACCUAAGGUCUGACUGCUGAACUACCCCUCAGGGUUAUAAAGUGCCGAGUCUUUGCAACAUGAUGAUCUUCCAUAGUCACUCCAACACCUUCUUUAUUCCUAGAAUGACUAAAUGAACAUUCUGUAUAUUCCACAUUAGUUUUACUAUUUUUAUUUAUUUAUUUAUUUUAUUUUUUAAGGGUUCAAGUGUCUCAAAAGGUUAUAACUUACUGGUAAUCCCUCUCUUCGUCUCAUCAAUUAAAAGCUAUGUGAUCGACGAAAAUCAUACACCAAAAGAAAUUUCGUCUAACCAUUUUAGAUGUCUCUUAAGGUCUCAUUGACUAAAGCUUAAAGAUUAAGACUUAAAGAUCUUGAUGCAAGCGGACUGUGAUGCGAAAUUCUUCUACUUAUACCGAGAUUGCAUCUCAGGCUCCUGAUUGCUCCAUCAUAAAUACUUGUUGGAAGAUAUGCUAUCCUGUAUUGGCUGUUUCAGUUUGUACAGAUGUGAUACUGUACAACCUGUAAAUACUGCAAUUAGGAUAGUUUCCAUAUCAGUCUUGUUGAUCCAUGUAUGCAACUUCAUAUCAACUCGAAUUGUGUGACACCUGGCCACCACUGUAUUAAAUUCAAAUUUACUGUCUAUUCUCUAUCAAAUAUUUUAAAUGAUUUUGAAUCAAAUAUUUUAAAUGAUUUUGAAUCAAAUAUUUUAAAUGAUUUUGAAUCAAAUAUUUUAAAUGAUUUUGAAUCAAAUAUUUUAAAUGAUUUUGAAUCAAAUAUUUUAAAUGAUUUUGAAUCAAAUAUUUUAAAUGAUUUUGAAUAAGUUCCGCCAAUAUUUCCCAAUUUUCUAUUGUUAACUCUGAAGCAGGAAUUUGAAAAUUGCAAUGUUCAAGUAUUUCUACUUGUGAGUGGUGACAUUCUUCAUGUGAAAGUGUAUCCAAAAUCAUUAUAAGGAAUAUUGUCCAAAUUUUUCUUUCAAUUUAAAAUAUUGAAAAACUUAGGCUCAGAAUUAUAUGCACUAUUACUGGUGAAGGCAGGACAAUUUAAAAUCUCUGGAUAGGUUGCUGAUGUUUGAAUUGGAUUAUUGAUGAACAGAAUGGAUAUUACUUGACAGAACUGCAUAAAGCACGUCACAUGUAACUAAUUGUUGAAUCAUGUUAUAGGUCAUUGUUGAUAGAAUGUCUUAGGAAAUUACUCUUUUCUUGUACCAUUAAACUUAUUUUCUGAUCUCAAAAGUGACUUUAGCAUGUGAACAAGUUGUAUUUAGGAUUUCACAAUUAAUCCCUAACGUGUUCACUUCUAUCCGGGUUUAGCAACGUUAUAUAUUGAGAAUGCGCUAUUUCGUGUCUGUUUAAUAUUGUUUCCAUUUCCAACAUGUGAGAGAUGUUGUCACUCUUGCCUAGUCUUCUUAGAGAUGACUUAUGCUUUUUUCAACAGCCUUAUUUCAUCCUGACCUAUGUGUAGAUCUGCUUCUAGAGAGUAUCCUUGCUUCCAGAGCUGAACUUUCAUGUUUGAACAGCCUCAGUUAAUCCAUUCUUUAUUUGAUAAGGAUCCGUACGAUCUUUGUACGGAUCCUCUGAAGGAAAUUCAAAUUAGCUUCAGUCAAUUAGGAUUCCCAUAGGGAAACUGUGUACAGUGAUCUGUUAAUUGAUUGAUAGUCACUUGCGACCUUAAUAAAUAUUUUCUUAGUGAUUAUUUGAAACGUUAGAUGUACAUAAUGAGAUUUUGUAAUAUGAUAUCUUAUCUCAGAUGGUAAUGGAUUCAAAACAAGUACCAUGCGGUUAGGAGCUGAUGUGAUCGUUUUUAGUCGUGCAAUGAAGUCAGGGUAUUUUUUUUUCUCUAAUUAUACCUUCUUUAUUUAUUUACACUAAGCUACUUGCAUAUAUGCUCAUUCCUCAGUCUCAAUUUGUCUAGGGGUCUUGAAAUUCUAGAGUUCUUUGAUAAUGCAAAAAAUAAAUCAUUGAAACUCUAGAGUUGUUUUGGAACUGAUAAUUUAUAUGAGAAAAUACUGCAAAGUGCAGUUUCUCAAUUAUUUUAGAAGAAUCAAUACUUAUUACAAUGAACUUAAUUGUAGCAAUGCCUUUAUGCUUUAAAAGCUAUAUGAUUUGACUACAAUUGGCAAUAUUCAUUUUUAGUGCUUUAGAGAUCUUGUUUACCAUCUUGAUGUGUUUUUGACAAUUUUCUUGAUCUUGUUCUUUAGGCGCGCAACCCAAAGUGUUGGUCUUCUCUCGUAUACAUUUUUGCGGAGAACCUGGCAGGACGAUGUGAUUGUUCCAAUGGUUGACUUUUUAUGCUUAAUAAUGAAAUCUUCGUUUAGUUGUCCACAGUCUAACAUAAAAGGGCAUGGAGUUUUUAUUUUAUUUUCUUACAAGAAAAUAUUUGUCAUUCUUCUUCCCUGAAUAUAAUUUGCAGGUUGAUUUUGAUAUCUCAGACCACUGGGCAGAGCCUAUAAUCUAUAGCUCGAAGGAUGAUUGGUCCAGUAACUUGAAUAUCAUGCUUCAAUGGUCUCCAUUUGCAUCUAAGGACGAAAUUAUGCUACAGGUUCAAUUUUGAUGAAAUGCAACAUCUCUAGAGCAGAAACUUUUAGUUCUUCACUUUAUCAUAUCAUGGUGUGAUUACCCAAAAGCAAGUUUGCCUCCAAAUUUAGUUGCAUAAACAUUUUGAUUGCUAUAUUUGUUUCUUGUUGAGAUUUAAUAAACAAACAAAUAUUGCUUUGAAGGAAUACUAGAAAUAAGGUUUACCCAGGCAAAAUAAGUUAAAAGGAUGGGGAACAGAAGUACAUGAAAUAAACUUGGAGUUUUUUAUAUGGUAAAUUAUUGAAGAGACUCCAGAUAUUAUGAUUGAAAAUUUUUUAUCUCAGUAAUUGCAAUUACAAUUGCAAAUUUACGACUCUCUUAGGCUAUUCUUGAUUUCUGUCACAGAUUAAUGUUUUUAUAAUGUAUUCUUUCAUUAUUUCCAGUUCGAAAAUAUUGGGUCACAUGGAACAAAGAUCAUAAUAUAUAACCUGUGGCUGAAUGAUGAAGGCAUCUAUGAAUUGAAUUUUGACGACGACGACGAGGUUAGUAAUAUCUCUUUGCAGUACCUGAGCUUUACUAAUUUCUAUGUAUUUACUGAUAGCUGGAUUUUUGCAUUCAUUAAUCUUAAAGUUCAACUUGGAAAUUUUUUAACUCUAAUGUUUUUAUCCCAAAUUUUGUUCUUGUUUGCUUCUCAUUGUCCUGUACUGGUUCCAGCUAAGACUUCGUUUCUAUUUCUCCUUGCUUUUCUUUAAAGAUAUUGCAGAUUAAGCAUACUAAACAUAAGCUUUACAACUACAACCUAAAUAAUAGGCCAAAACUAGGAUCAUUUUGAACUGUUGUCGGGCUUGGAUAAUAUUAUAGACGCUUUGGUCUAGAAAGAAAAAAUUCAUACUCUGAUAGUAUAUCCUAUGUCGCUGAUCCUCAAAAUGUAAAUAUAGUUAUGCUACAUGUACAAUCGGGGUUAACAAUGACACACAUGGGAGGGGGCCCACGCUGAAUAAAAAAAUCUUGGGUUCCCCUCUUGUGAGUACGUUGUCCGACUAGAACAAUUCAUGUAAAUAAGAACAAUUUAACAAGGCUCCAAAUACUUGUCAAUGACAAGAUAAUGCAGUCGCAUAAAUUUUUAUAUAGCUAGGAUGAUUUUUCAAAAUCUAUCAAAUUUUUUCACAUUUUAGUUGUAUAAGGUUCAAAUACAAGUGUGACAACACUGCUUGGAACUUGAGAAUAUUUGUGUGUAAGUCAAAAAUAUAAACAUCGUGGUACCACAGUCCUGGUAGCAUAAUCAAUAGGUAAAUGGUGAUGUUAAUCUUCAAUCGUUGAUGGCAUUGUAUUAUGGCAAAUAUAGAAAUUUUCACAGGUUAGUUGGCCAUGGAUUACAGGGAUUUUGAAAAUAGAAGAAACAUUCUGUUAUUCUUUAUUAUUAUUACAACCUAACUAUCCCAUUUUUAUAGUACAAGAAAGAGAGUAAAAGGGUUUUUUUUUUUCUCUUUCUAAAAUCUGCAAAAGAAUCUUCUACAAUUAAUCUCCUAAUUAUAAUUUGUCCAAAUAUACAAGUCCUUUGGUGAAGAUAUACGUAGUUUGUUCCUGUGUGAGAGCAUAUGCUGUGCAAAUAAUCCCUUCUUCCACAUUCUCUUUGACGAAAUGUCAAUCCAUUUCUGCAUGUUUUGUUCGAUCAUGAUGGACUGAAUUGAGAGAUGUUGAUGGCAACUUUACAUAGUUUGAUUGAAAAUUUCAUUGUAACAUGUUCUUUUAGAAGUUUCUUCAUUCACGGUCCUUUCCAUAUUCCUUGUCACCUCUUUAAACUCAACUUCAGCGGUACUUCUUGCUACCAUGUUUGUUUCUUGCUCUAUGUUACCAGAUUUUCCCGUACAAAAUUGCAAUAUCUAGCAGUCGACCUCCUAUCUUCUGUGGAACCUGUCCAAUCCGCGUCUAUGAAGACUUCUACAGUUUUCCUUUUCACUUUUCUUAAAGAAUGGUCCUUUUUUCGAGGAGUCCUUAAGAUAUCUGAGUAUCUUGUGGUAGAUUGUUUCUAGGUAAUUUCCUUUUGAGAAUGCAUAUGUUGGCUCACCAUACUAAUUGCGAACGCAAUGUCAGGUCUAGUGUUCUUUAACUUUAUUGAACAAUAUGAGAACAGAUGGGUACAUUAGCACUAUUGGUGAAUAGCAUUAUUCAUACAUGAAUCUAAAUAUUAUGUAUAUAUAAUGAUCUACUAUGCAGAUCUUAUGUUAAGCACCAAUGACAUGUCAUACAUAAAUUCAUUGGUAGAUUUUAAAUUUAAUUCAAAUAUUGAGGUCCACCAUAUGUUUAUCCACCAAUGGAUUUAUAUAAUAUGUCACCAGUGCAUAACAUAAGAAAAUCAUCGGUGCUUAGUAGAUCAUUCUUGUUGUAUAUAUAUAAAGAAAUAUUCUUUACUGACUCGAGCCUAGAAGUACUGCCUCCUAGAGUUGCUAGAGUUAGAGGAGUAACUCGGAGAAGGGGUUAAGAGUCGGAGCAAGAGCUUCAGAGCCCAAUUUGUAGCUCGUGCCAUAGCGGCAUAACCUCACUAGGAGCUGUAUUAAAUAUCUAAUAUAAUCUUAUGUUUGAUAUAUCUUAAUUUAAAAUAGUAUACUAGAAAAAAAAAAAUUUAACUUCUUUAUUUUUUAUAUUAUUUGGUAGUUGGUACUAAGCAUGUUUUUUUUUGUAAUGAUGAUGCAGUCUCUGUGCCCAAGUGAUUAAUUUACAUAUUCUCCACUAUGGGAGAGCUUGAGUCGAUCUUACUUUCUACAGAUUUCUUCGUGUUCUCAUGAUUCGAACCCUUACCUUUCCUUUGAGAGAUACUUAAGUUGAAUCUCGGUACAAAUCAACAAAUUUCCAAAAUUUUUCUAAAGAAUCUCUUUCAAUUAAUCUCCUAAUAAUAAUUUGUCUAAGUAUACAAUGUUAAUUAAGGUAGGUAGAAUUUUCAUCAUAUUUUCGGGAUUUCAAAAGAUUUGGAAGUGCAACCAGACAACUUUUUGGAGGGGAGGAACUAUUAAAAUAUACCAUGGCGCGUAACAAACAAGUUCAUAUUGAUUUUCAGCUUUUGUCUCCAAAGUGCAGGCUUGUCCACACUACUUCUGGUGCUACUUUCUUUGUAUAUUUCCUACAAGAAUUUCAGCAUUGAUAGCUCAUUGUCCUCUCCAACCAAAAGAAAGGGGUGUGUUGGGGUGGGCGAUAAUUGAAAAGAGAGUUCACACCAUAUCACAUGCUGAUAACAAUAGCUUGUUAGGAAUCCUAGACGAGGACGAGGCUUGGUUUGAAAUCAUUUGUCUUUGACGCACAUGUAUCAGUAAUAAAUAACUGUUUUUUUUUUCCCUUUCUUGUGUGUGUUUUUGACAUUGAACAUGCAGUACUUUGUGGCACUUUAUAUCAUUAUUGAGCAUGUGUAUAUUAGUAUUUAUGUGAAGCGACACUUUGUUUUGUCAUCUGUAACCACAGCAUCCUUUUCUUAACCUUAAACAUUAAAAAGGACUGCUCAUAUAGGCUUUCAGGCUCAGUUAGAAGCAGUACUUCAUUUGGUUUUAAUGAACGACUCUUCUUUUGAAGUCUUUCUAUACAUUUAUGCCUCCGUUUGGGAAGAAUUUAUAUAUGUUUUAAUUUAUAAAUUCAUAGAAAUGAGUGAUGGAUAAGUGGAUAAUACUUGUGGAUGUUGGAAAGUGUGGUUCAAAUGAAGUUUGACCAUCUAAAAAUGAUUUAUAAUUUUUUGCCAAAAGGAGGCUUUAUCACAUAUGAUCUUUUCUUUUGACUACUAUAUAGUUUAUUUGCAGCUAUUCGCAUUUCACAUUGUUGGUUCUUGGUUCCGAGUAACUAUGGUUAUUUGUUACCGAUGAUAUGUUGGAAACAUUUGUGACAUUCUUUGACUUUUGUUUAUUAAAAAUGUAUAUCUGAUUACCCUUUGAUGUAGGAUAUUAGGUUGAGAGAUGAAGCUAAUCGAGGAAAUCCAUCCAAAACAUUGAAGAGGGUCCUUGAACUUCAAUCACAUAUUUCCUACCGGAUACGCUUUUCACUAAGGGUGACCAUUAAACUUUAUCUUUCCCUUGUGUCUUAUUUUCUAAGAAACACAGACUUCAGGUUCAAGACAUAGAUACUACUCUACAUGGAUAUGAAACACAGACUGGUUGCAUUUUUAGAUCAUCACUUUUAGAUAUUUUCAUAAGUUUCUCUUAAUGAAUGUAAAGUGCAGUAGAUGUCUCUUUUCAGGCAUAUGCGUCAGUACUGUAUCUCAGAAAAUUUACGAACUUCCAAAUUAUUUUAAGAGGGAAGCCUGUUCAGCAGUUAUAUAUUGCGGAUGACUUGAAAUACUCGAAAGCAAUCACAUACAGGCCCACUGUUGGUUUGUCAUCAAAAGAGGUAUGAUUUGCAAUAGAUUUAUGAGGGGGUAUUUUGAAAAAAAAUUCAAUUAGGUAGAUCCCAUUUUGAUUGAGUGUUCUCACAUGAAAUGUUAUGGACAAUGAAAUUACAACAUUCUAUUUGUUAGUGGAAGUUGAUAUUUGUGGUGUUGCUGGAAUCAGUAUUGGAUAUUUGCUCUGAUAGUGGUCAAUUAUGUUUUGGAUUAAUAUGCGGAUUGGGGUGGAUCUUGGAAGUUGAUUGGUUAUUUUUAUCAAUGUUUGUUACUCUAAUUUUUUUCCCCUUCUGUGGUAGGUGGUGGUGGAAACAACCAUUGGCUUUAUUAAAGAAGCACCUGCACUUAGAGUUUGUGGAUUCAAUGUGUACCAUAAAAAUCGUCUCAUCAGGGUACGCGUAUUCAUACGUGAAAAAUCAGUGGGUGUAGUUUCAUUUCCCUAGUAAUCUCUAUAAUUACGGUCAAUGUGAGGUUUUAGUUUAUUAUUUUGCCAGCCUUCAUGCAUAUAUAUAAUUUUGCGACAGUCGUUGAAUAUAUGGUAUAUAUGAAUAAAUCUUUGAAAGAAAGUUUAAACAGCUGGAUUUUAAUAAUUUGAGGUAAUCAAAAUGGCCUACAGCAAAGACGUGGUCUGAAAUGGAAAUAAUUAAUGAAUGCAUACUAUGCAUGCUGAAGUUUCACAUUUAAAUGAUGGGGAUUCUAUCUCAAGUUACAUUGAUGUUUAAAAUGAUGUGUUCCAACAGCCCUUCUGGAAAGUUACUGGGGAUGGUUCUAAUAAAGGACACGGUGUUGUUGGUAAUGCUUAAUGAUAUACUAUUCUUUUGUUCAGGCUACUUUUCUACUAUUUCUUUCAAACUAACUAAUCUAUUUUGUUCAGGAGUACUGGAAGCAAAUUUCAUAGAACCAGCACAUGACAAACAGGAUUUUGAGAGGUCAUCUCUGUUUUCCAAGCUGGAGAUGAGAUUGAAACAAAUGGUUAUGGAAUAUUGGUAUUAUUUCUUUACUUAUUUGCUUUUUAUUUUUUAAAUUUAAUCAGCGGUAUCAUUAUUUUGUAUGAUCUCUAUUAAGUUGAAACUCAGGUUAGUUUUGUUUUGUUGGCAAAUAAUUUCUAUUGCAUCCUUUUUCUAAUAGCCAGUUCUAAGCUGGGUAGAGGGUUGUUGGUUGACAGCCGGCUUGUCACAUUUUACGACAUAAAUCAACUUAUGCAAUUUGUUCGGGUAUCCCUACUAGUGAUGUGUUCUAUCUGAUCUUGGGAGUAGUGAAAAGUAUUAGAAUCUAUUUUCGGCCAAGCAAACCAGAAUUUAACAAAUGUUGUAACACAUUAGAAUUGGGAUGUCCCAAUUUCUUAUGCUAGACAAAAAUAUCGAAAGUAGUAGAAUUAUAAACGAUGGGAAAAGAUGAAACAAGUUUCAGUGAAAUAGGAAAGGGACGUCCCUCCUUAGACCUCUUCACAAUCGUCCUCGGACACCUGAUCCUGCUCGAACUAGAAGAAAAAGACACAGUGCAGUUGUUAUCAAUAAGCUAACCAACAGAUAUAAGAUUAGUUGAUAGACGAGAAACUAAAAUAUUAGCCAAAUCUAGUAAUGUCUCCUACGGUCGAGAUGGGAAGUGUUACCAUUAGCAGUGCUUAUAUGGAGAGAUUCAGUGUAUGGUCUAAGAUUACCUUGCAACUGAGAAUCAUGAGUUAUAUGGUUAAGAGCACCUGAGUCUAAUAACCAAGCAAAAGAAGCAAUUGAUGUUUAUCUGAGACACCUAAGGUAGACAAAGCAGAAAUAACCAUUUAUUGGAUCAUCUCAGGAGUGACAAUGUUUUGUGAAGGACUGGUGAAGCAUGAUUGGAAGUAGCUGGUGUAGUAGAACUAGAGGCUAAAUUGACAAUAAAACCCACUCUGGUCUUGUGUAGAGGUCAAAUAGGGUAUUCCUUAAUGACAUGUCCAAGCUUUUUGCAAUAAUUGCUUACUUUUUGGGACACCGAAGAGCCAUGUGACCAAAACUAUUACUGCUGUAAUAUUGAACACUAGAUUGUUAUGCAUGUGGCUCAUAUAGAGUGGAACACAAGUUCUGGAUCAAAUAGGCCGAUGCCGGCGGAGCGGAGUGGAGUGACAGGAGUGGAGCGCAUCGAAUGGAACAGAGCGGAUUUUCAGGUUAGUAAGUAUAUGGCUAAUCCUGGUAGAGAGCAUUGGAGAGCUGUAAAGUGGAUUUUCAGGUACUUGAAAGGUACAAUGGAGUGCGGGAUCAUGUUUGAGAGACAACAUGGUGAUAUUUCAGUUCAAGGAUAUGUAGAUGUAGAUUAUGCAGGGGACUUGGAUGACAGAAGGUCCCAUACAGGUCAUGUUUUCACACUCCCAGGUGGGCCCAUAUGUUGGAGAUCAAUGGUGCAGUUACUUGUAGCAUUAUCUACAACUGAAGCGGAGUACAUGGCGGCAACUGAGGCAGCCAAGGAAUUAUUGUGGUUGAAAGGGCUUGUCAGGGAACUUGGGAUCAAGCAAGAUGGAUGAAGUUGUACUGUGAUAGUCAGAGCGCCAUCUUCCUAGCGAAGAAUCAGAUUUAUCAUGCAAGAAUCAAGCACAUUGAUGUGAGAUUUCAUAAGAUAAGAGAAUUGGUUACUUCAGGAGAGCUGUUAGAGAAAGUGCAUACCUCAGAGAAUGUAGCAGACAUGAUGGCAAAGCCAGUCACAAUGGAUAGGUUCAAGCACUGCUUGAACUUGAUUAACAUCUCUAGGUGUUAGAGAGGAUGUGUCCCAACCCAUUGGUUCUAGAUGGUGUGAUUUUUUUCCAGGUUAUAUUUUUUUCUCCUAAGAGGUGAAUAUUCGCCAAGGUAGAGAUUGUUGUGCAUGUGGCUCAUAUAGAGUGGAACACAAAUCCUGGAUCAAAUGGACUGAUGCCGGCGCGGAGCGGAGUGGAGUGAGAGGAGCGGAGCGGAGCAACGAUAUCGACAUUGCGCGGGUUUAAUUAACUGUCUAGUUUUUAGGGACGCCGAAUGGGUUGGGGUGCAGGGACAACGCCCCCGCGGUACGGUACAGGGGUAUUUCCUGUACGGGCCUUAAAGUCUUAUAUGGGUCCAGGCUAGGGUUAGUAUAAAUAAUAUAUUGUAACUCUAUUUUUCACUAUUGAAAAAAGAAAUUUCUGCUUCACUCUCGUGGACAUAGGCACACCGCCGAUCCACAUAAAUUUUUGUGUUGAUUAUCUUUUUCAUCUCUUUAAUAUUGCACAUAAAAUCCAAAUUUGAAUUUUCCUUGAGCAGCAUAUGCAACUGGAACUGGUGUUACUUGAUUUUGCUAUUGCUCCAAAGAGGCACGACUGAUACACUGUUCUUCUUCCCUCAGUAACUCACCCAAACAAUCAUCCAACGUCGGAGAUAUGCGAUUCAUAAGACUGAUCUGAUGUAUUCAAAUUCAUUUCUCAAUUUCAUGAGAAACUGAUCUUACUAGGUAAUUUCAUGCACAGCCUAUAUUGCCUUCAACCCAACAGGUAAAUCGAGGCAUAGAUGAUAUCUAUGUGCUCAUUCUAAAAUUCUUCAAUGGUCCGAGUCCUAUGAAAAUUGUGCCAAUUCAAACUCCAGCUGAAGUCAUCGAGUAUUGUUUUGAGUGUAGACUUUCUUCAAAUAUUCUCACACACCAUGAGCUUUGUAAGGCCUAAGAUUAAGAAUAAUCUGAGCAUCAACCGAUCUAAUGAUCCGGACCAUAAUUCGGUAAUCUUUGGUUUUUCAGGCAGGGUACUAUUUCUUAUCAUUUUCUUGAUCAGGAGAUAGAAGGCUUCCAUUAAUAUGUCCUCAUAGAUCCCCUUUCCCUUCAACCACCAACUAAAAGUGUAAUGCCCAAGAAAAAUAGUUAUUGCUGGUAAAGCUAAUGCAAUAGGAUCAUCCUUCUCAAGGACAUGAUUAAUCAGAUUUGUAAACCCAAACUCAAAGAAAUACCAAUUAAAUUAAAGUCCAACAAGAUAACACUAGGCCAAUAACGCAAAAACACCAAAUAUUACGUAAUCAAUAUCCAACAAGCCCAAGCCCAAACACUAUCCAAUCAAUUAAGUUCAGCCCACAUAAAUAACACGAGACCACUGUAGAUGAAAAACCAACCUGAUGACUUGAAAAAACUCAUAGACACGAGUGGGGAAAUUGAAGCUGCAAAGAGGUAAAUCCAGGCAAUGGCAAAAAAGAAACUCCAAACGAUGAAAGAAGACUUCUCCGACCAUGACCCAAGGCUAGACGUCGGAAAUUUGGAAAGUCAAUCUUAGGGCUCUGUUACCUUGCUAAAUUGCUGAAUAUCCUUUCUCGUGCGUAUUCCAUUUUAUUUAUAGAAUAUUACAAGCUAUAAAAGGAAUGGAAAAUAAUUAGCUAUACAAUAAGAUUAAUCCCUGAUUUUCUGUGAUUUAAUUAGCCUAUAUAUGGAAAUAAGUAAACUAAUUUGUUUAGCCGAAAGUAGACUCUAAUAAAAAGUCAGCAAGGCUUAGUCAGCAUACCCCAUCAGCAACCCAACGCUUUGUCGCCACGAGCGUUGAAUACCAAUGGUCCUGUGAUGUAAUAGACAGGUCAAAUGAGGGGGAGAAGGUAAAAGAAAUAGGGAAAACGGGAUAUAAACUUUCAGAUAUGGGCAAGGAGAAUGAUAGAGUUGGAGUUAGUAUAAUUGUUGAAGCUGGUUUAUAAAAUGAAGUCAUACAUUACAAGUUAAAUGGAUUGGGAAUAGGAUAAUAUUUGUUAUACUACCUUUUAGAGGAGUCAAUUACAGUUAUCAGUGCAUAUGGAUGGAUAGGAUUGGACAACAAUAGUUUUGGGAUGACAUGGAUGGAUUUAUUCAAGCAACCCUUAGUUAAUUAUAUAUUUGUUGUUUGUGGUUUAAACAGUUAUAUGGUAAAGUAACUGAAGAUAGGAAAGAGUUCAUGGUAAUUUUUGGCUCAGGAGAUCAGCAUGAAGAUGGUGAUACAAUUUUGGACAUCGGAUUGCUUAUCAUUUGGUGUUAGCAAAUACAUGCACUGAUAAAGAGACCCAACUUAUAACUUUUAGAAGCUGCAGAGAUUUAGACAAAUAGAUUCUGUCUUUACAGGAAGGUGAUUAGUCCUUGUUAGAGAUGAAAUGCAUGAGAGGUUGGUGAUGCUUGACGUUGUUAAGAAAUGGAAAAGAAUUACCAUUUAGGCAAAGAUGUUUGAGAUCAUAUAACAAGAUGGUGGAACCUGGAUGGUAAAAAAAUAUAUGAGCUUUAAGGAUGGAAUUUCAAUGGAAGAAAAGUGGGAUAGAGACAAAGAUAGUAACAUGAUGUUGAAUAAGAUGACUAGUUACAUUAGAAAUUUAGGAAAUGUGAUUUUAGAGAAUCUAGGGGUAGAAACAGGCUAAUAAAGAAAUAUGGGGUGGAACAUGGUUUAAAUGACAAUCAAGACUAAAAGAGAAUGCUAUAUAAUCUUACGAAAACACUGAAGUAGUUAAAUUAAAACCAUGAGGGUGAUUGACUCUGUAGCACGGACACUUUAACGAGAGUAGCGUGUCCUUAUCCAACACGUAACGGGCUGGUGUCGAAUACUGACAUUCAUCGGACGCUCUAUCAUUGUCAUUUAUCUUUCUAUUAAAAUGUGAGUUGAUUUGGAAGAAUAAUUGAUUUUUAUUUUUUUUAAAUUCAUAAACAGGUUACACACACACACAUAUACAACGGAUAUUUCUAAUUAGGAAAAUAAUUCUAUACUUAUGCACCUACCAUAUAUACAUCCAUUGUAUAUGUAAAGAUUAUAUUUAAGCCUAACUUAAUGCGUACAGCUUAUAACACUCCCCUCAAGCUGGAGCAUACAUGUCAAUCAUGCCCAGCUUGUUAAAAAUAUAAUUUACUCGAUUUCCAAUUUAGGCCUUAGCGUACACACCAGCUAAUUGAUCCUUUGUCCUGACAUGCUUAGUCAAAAUCAAUCCUUACAAUAGAUUUUUAUGAACAAAAUGAUAGUUGGCCUAUAUGUGCUUUGUUCUCUCUCAUGACAUACAGGAUUAGUGGUAAUGUGAAUAGCUGCUUGAUUAUUGCACCACAAGCUAAUAGAGUGGGAAUUAUCAAUGUCAAUCUUCCAAAGUAAGUUAUGUAGCCACAUAAGUUCACAAGUUACCUGUGCUAUAGCCCGAUAUUCAGAUUCUAUGCUAGGUCAAGCUACAACACUUUAUUUCUUACUUUUCCAAGAGACUAAAUUACCUCCAACGAAAACAAAAUACCCUAUAAUAAAGCGCUUAUUUAUAGGAGAAUUUGUACAGUCAGCAUCUAAGAAAUCCUCAAACUCUACAAUGACCAUGGUCUCUAUUAAGAAUCCCACGUCCUGGAGGUCCUUUGAGAUUUAAUAUAUGAGUUAUAGCAUCCCAAUGUGAAGUUCUAGGAGAUGACAUAAACCGACUAACAAAACUUAAUGGAAAGGCAAUAUCUACAUGAGUAAUUGUGAAAUAGUUCAACUUUCCCACUAUCCUUUUGUACUUGUCCUCAUCAACAAACGCAUCUCUAUCUUCAGCUUCAAGUUUUACAUUUGGUAUCAUGGGAGCAUCACCACGUUGUGCUUCAGCUAAACCUGUCUUAUCUAGUAAGUCUAGAACAUACUUCCUUUGAGGUAGAAAAAUUCUUUUACCACUUCGAGAGACCACUAUUCCUAAGAAAUAUUUCGAAGGACCUAACUCCUUUGUCUAAAACUUUGUGCCCAAGAAAGCCUUCAGCGUACUACCAAUAAUCACAAUGUCAUCAACAUAUACCAUUAACAAAAUACACUCAACUUUAGAUUGUUUAAAGAAUACUGAGUGAUCAUACAUACUUUUUUGCUAGCCAAAUUCAAUCACAACCUCACUAAAUAUCCCAAACCAUGCACGGGGUGAUUGCUCAAACCAUACGACGACUUUUGCAAUUUGCAUACUUUUCGUGACUCCACCUGAGCAACAAACCCUAGUGGUUGUUCCAUGUAAACUUCUUUUAAAUCAUCAUGGAGAAUGCAUUUUUAACAUUCAGUUGGUGGAGCAGCCAUUGAUAGAUAGUAGCAAGAGAAAUGAAUAACCAAACUGGAGCAAGUUUAGCAACUGGAGAGAAAGUCUCAGAGUAAUUCACACCAUAAGUUUGAACAUACCUCAAAGCAACCAGUCGAGCAACAAAUCAAUUAGGAUUCAUCUUGACAGUAAAUACCCAUUUACAUCCGAUUUCCUUUUUAUUGAGGGGGUAAAGGAACUAAAUCCCAAGUAUGAUUAUGUUCUUGUGCCAUCAUUUCUUCUUGCAUUGCCACUACUAACCACUAUGGGACAAAGCUUCAAAAAUAGAUUUUAGCACUAACACACACUCUAAAGAGGCAGUGAAGGACAUGGAAGGUGGUGAUAGCGCAUGGUAAGAAACAAAAGAAGAGACAAGAUAAAUGCAUGACCGUUUACCUUUUCAGAAGGUAAUGGGAUGAUCAAGACUAGGAUCAGGAGGGGGUGAUGAAUCCGGAGGCAAGCAACAGGUAGAAGCGAUGAGUUAUGGUCGAUAGUUGGUGCCAACAAAGAUUGUUGCAUACAACAAGUAUAAACAUUUUAAUAGAAGGACGAGAAGAUACUCGUUGUACAAGGAUAGUCACAGGAUAAACAAGAAAAUCAUCUUCGAAUUCAACAGAAGAUGGAGCAGAAGAUAUAGAAGUAGUGGAAAAGGGUGGAUAAAUGCAUGACCGUUUACCUUUUCAGAAGGUAAUGGGAAGAUCAAGACUAGGAUCAGGAGGGGGUGAUGAAUCCGGAGGCAAGCAACAGGUAGAAGCGAUGAGUUAUGGUCGAUAGUUGGUGCCAACAAAGAUUGUUGCAUACAACAAGUGUAAACAUUUUAAUAGAAGGACGAGAAGAUACUCGUUGUACAAGGAUAGUCACAGGAUAAACAAGAAAAUCAUCUUCGAAUUCAACAGAAGAUGGAGCAGAAGAUAUAGAAGUAGUGGAAAAGGGUUCGGACUCGAAGAAUGGGACAUCUGCAGACACUAAGUGUCGUCUUAAGGAAGUAGAAAAACAUCUAUAAGCUUUUUGAUGUCGAGAAUAACCUUAAAAUAUACACUUUAAGAGAUCUAGGAUCAAGAUUGGAAGCUUGAGAUCUCAUAUCUUGAACAAAGAAAGUAUACCAAAACACUCUAAGAGUGAGAGAAUAAAGUCUGAGGGAAAUAGAGUUGAAUAUGGGAUUUUACCAUCUAAGACAAAGGAAGGCAUACGAUUGAUUAAGUAACGUGUAGUAGAGACUGCAUUUGUCAAAAAUUCUUUUGAAACUUUCAUAUGAAAAAGAAAAGCUUGAGCAACUUCCAAUAAAUGAAGAUUCUUUCUAUUUGCCCCUCCAUUUUGUUGUGGUGUAAUGACACAGGAAGAUUGAUGAAGAAUGCCAUUUUGAAAAAGAAAGAAAUUAAAUGUAGAUGAGAAAUAUUCCUUGGCAUUAUCACUCCUUAAGAUACGUACAGAUUUAUCAAAUUGAGUUUUAAUCUCAAUAUAAAAGGCACAAAAAAAUUGAAAAUAGUUCUGAACAAUUUUUCAUAAGAUAUAUCAUAUCAUCUACAAAGAUAACAAAAUAGUGCAAACCAUUGUAGAUAAAAUAGGACACGGGCUCAAAUAUCAAAAUGUAUUAAAUCAAAAGGGGACAUAGCUUGUUUAUUUAUUCUCGAGAGAUAUAGUACCCUGUGGUGCUUUGCUGUGACAUGAUUCACAAUCCAAUUGAGACACUAGUCUAAGACUGGGACAUAAUUUCUUCAAAAUAGGGAGAAAAUGAUGAUUGAAGCUACAAUAGAGCUCUAGAAGAGAGGUACUAGUGCAUGCAGUCGACCUUGGCACUGGUGUGGGACAACAGUCGAGCAUGUACAAGCCAUUGAGCUAACGUCCUCUACCAAAAAGCUGCUUUGUCCCAAGAUCCUGAAAAAUGCAAUGAUUAGGAAAAAAAGAACACUACAAUAAAGAGAUUUAGUCAUUUGACUCACAAAUAAAAAAUUAAAAGGAAACUAAGGUAAACAUAAAACAGAAGACAAUGGAGAGAGUUUGUUAGACGUGCUCUCCUGCAUCCGACUAUAAGAACUGUAGAGCCGUUAGUUAAAGUGAUACGUGGUAAAUUAGAAAAAGAUUGAAAUGAUGAAAGUAUACCUGUUUUCCCAAUCAUAUGAUUUGUGGCACCAGAAUCAAUUACUCAAUUGCGAAACGACGUAGAAAGACAUGCUAUAGAAGUACCUGUAUUAGCUUAAGUGGAAGGUGUAACAAGUUGUUGAGCAAGAUGUUAAAGAGGCAUAAAAUUGUAUAAGGUGAGCAUACUCAUCUGCUAAAAUUGUUAUUUGAUGCUGAGAUGGAAGUGCCAGAGAUGUAGAUAGAAGACCAUUUUGAGUAGCUACAUUGGCAAAUUUCCUCAUACAAAUCUGACUUGUGUACUUUGUCGGUUUACCAUUUAGUUUUCAACAGUUUCAUUUUACAUGUCCUUGCUCUUCACAAUAAUAACAACCACAAGGAUUGCCACUAGAAAUUCUAUCUCGACUACCGUCCCCCUCUUGCCUAUUUAUAUUUGAAUUUGUGCUAACUAGGGCUACCAUCUCAUUUGGUAUUAUACCUUGCUUAUUGUCAUUGUCUUUGCAUACCUGUACGAGACGGGCAUAUAUAUCACUCAACGAAGGUAGUGCCUCACUGGUUCUAUUUGAGUAUGAGCCAUCUCAUAAUCAGGACCUAAAUCUGCAAGAAAACACUGGACCAUAAUUUGCUCUUCUUAUUCUUGCAUUGUCUUCACAUCACUAGUAAUAGGAAACAUGGCCCGCUUUUCUUUAAAUGCCUAUUUUACCUCAGUAUAAUAUUGAAACAGAUUUCAUCCCUUUUGCUUAGCCCGAUAAAUCUUUAACAUCAGUUUAUAAAUAUGUGAUACAUCCUAUUUACUAGCAUACAAAAAUCCUAGAUAAUCCCACAAUUCUUUUAUAGUAUCACAAUGAUUAAUGACAUACAGUCGAGGGUAUUUUGAAUCUAAUUAUAGAGUAUCGUCCUCCAUCAGCCAUUUCUUUUGGAAUACCAGGAUUAGCAACAGAUUGUGGAGCUGGAUCAUUCGUCAAAUGAUUGCCCAAAUCCAAACUUGACAUGUACCAGCGGGCUAUUAUCUUCCAUUGAGCAUAAUUCCUACUACCCGUUAACUUUCUUUUUGUGACUUUUGAGGAUGGGGUUACCGUGAUUUCGUUCACCACUUUCUUAUCACUAUCGGCCAUGAUUAACAGAAAGGCAAAGGAAGCAACCCAACAGACAUAAAGUAGCCGAAAAAUAUUCAAGUUUAAAGGGAGUUGCCCAACUAAAUAAACAAAUUAUGGAAGUCAAAGAGAAAGUAGCCCAAACAAAAAAUCAAACUAGUAAUCAUGACCCAGCAGACAAACUUAAUAGUCCAAUCAAUCACCUAGGAGAAAUAUAAUAAUGAGCCUAACAAGCCCAAUAACCAAAAUAAUCCACCAAAUACUCAAGUCCAAUAACACCACUUAAGAGGCAACCAGACCAACUCUAGAAAAUAUAAGAUCCCAACAAGCCCAAUAGCAUAAAUUAAUCCGCCAAAAUAAGUCAAUCCCAAUAUCGUCACACAGGUAGUCGAACGAACUCACAAAGAAAUGAUGAUUUUCACCUCAGACGAAGACAAACGAUGAACUCAGAGGUGCUGGAAACUGAAAUUGCGAAGCUAAAUUAGCUUCGAUCACGACCCACAACAAACUUGUCGAAACCACCAGCAGAACCCUCAAAUGUCAUCGAAAACAAAGGACAACCAAAAUAAGUCAAUCCCAAUAUUGUCACACAGGUAGUCGAACGAACUCACAAAUCCAAAUGAAGAAAUGAUGAUUUUCACCUCAGACGAAGACAAACGAUGAACUCAGAGGUGCUGGAAACUGAAAUUGCGAAGCUAAAUUAGCUUCGAUCACGACCCACAACAAACUUGUCGAAACCACCAGCAGAACCCUCAAAUGUCAUCGAAAACAAAGGACACAGAUCGAGAAUCGACUUCAAAUGUCAACCCCCAAGACUCAACCACCGAUGGCGUUGAAACCACGAGCAGCAGCCACCAAUGCCACCGACAACUAUGAAUAGAUAACCACACUACAAGAAAAAUUUUGGGGCUCUGAUACCAUUUGAGUUGAUUUAGGAGAAUAAUUAAUUUGAUUUCUUUCUAAUUAGGAAACAAUCCUGUCUAAUUAGGAAAAUAAUUCUAUGCCUAUGCACCUACCAUAUAUACAUCCAUCGUAUAUGUACAGAAUAUAUUUAAGCCUAACUUAAUUCAUGUAGCUCAUAACAAAUAUUAUAUAUUUUUAAUUCAAAAUUAUUAUUAAAUAACAAAUAGGUACUCAUUUUUGCAUGAUUUCAAUAAGAAAAAUUAAUAACUAGUAUGAGAUUAAAUUUAUACUAUAUAAACGAAGAAUUUUAAAUAAUUUACUCAACUUGUCGACUGUGUGUCCUGUCAAUAUAUUUUUAAAAAAUCAUGUAUCGGUGUGUCCUUGUCUGAUUGAGUAGAAAUUUGAGAUUGUACAAACCACAAAGGUAUUAAACUCAUUAGCCAUCUCUGUAGAAUUAUGGGAAAGGGCAAUUGAGCGUAGAUUAAUGUGAAACUCUAAAGGUAUCAGAAAAUCAGUUUUGCAUAGUGCCUGGACAAUUUACUAUGGAAGCCAUUUACCUGCUUAGGAGAUUGACUACAAAUGCAUGUAGAAAGGAAACAGGACAUGCAUAUAGUUUUUAUUGAUUUAGCGUAAGCCUAGUAAUAGUUGGAAUAGGAAUAGUGGAUUUACCAUACAGGAUUGGUUUAAAUAUUUAUAUCCGAUUAUUAACAAGGAAUGAGAAAUUGAUGAAAAGGUAAUGUACUGAUCAGACCAGGGUGGAUGAAAUAGAAAAAUUUUGCAGGAAUUUUGUGGUAGGAGGAUAUCCUUACGAGGAAAAAGUCAGUUUCUAUAAAACAAUUAUUAGGCUUUGAUUGGUUAUUGAACCUGCUAGGCUUUGUGGUAUUGAAUGUUAGAAAGGUUGUUAAAGGAUAAAAAUCUUAAGAUGAACAUUGUGGAAUUGAGGAUAUUAUGAUGGAUGUGUGAACAUAAGAAAUGAGAAUAUAUGUCAACAAGAGGAGGUGGCAAGGUUGAGAAUAAGUUAACAGAAAAAUACUUAGGUAAUUAGGAAGCAAAACUUAAAAGAGGCUUUCUUUCAUAAGAUCGAUGCUAUCAAAGGAAAAUAAGUUAGAAGAGAGAAGAGUGGACCAAAAUUAACAUGGCAGUUGUGAUUGUUAGGAUUUAGUUACUUUUGGACCUUACAAUAGACUUAUCAAUGAACUGGACUGGCAAAAAAUCAGAAAAAUACCUAGGUAAUUAGGAAGCGAAACUUUAAAGAGGCUUUCUUUCAUAAGAUUGAUGCUAUCAAAGGAAAAUAAGUUAGAAGAGAGAAGAGUGGACCAAAAUUAACAUGGCAGUUGUGAUUGUUAGGAUUUAGUUACUUUUGGACCUUACAAUAAACUUAUCAAUGAACUGGACUGGCAAAAAAUCAGAAAAAUACCUAGGUAAUUAGGAAGCGAAACUUUAAAGAGGCUUUCUUUCAUAAGAUUGAUGCUAUCAAAGGAAAAUAAGUUAGAAGAGAGAAGAGUGGACCAAAAUUAACAUGGCAGUUGUGAUUGUUAGGAUUUAGUUACUUUUGGACCUUACAAUAGACGUAUCAAUGAACUGGACUGGCCAAAAAGCAUUUAUGUAGCCAACAACAAAUUUAUUGGGAAAAGGCAAUGUUUUGUGCUGUAUUUGUCUUUUAACAAAAUUUAUUUCCUGCCUUAUUUCACUUCCACGAUAUCGCUUGAAGUCUCGUGUAGUUGGUUAAUAUAAUCGAAUAAGAUAUGCCAUUUUGGUGCCUCACUCUCAGCUUUUAAUAGCAGUUGUUGUAGAAUGAAAUCGUUUUCUAGUAAACCAAUAUGACACCAUGGUGAAUGAUCCUUGUAAUGGACGACUUUCAGCAUUGGUAUUACCUAUUCAUAGAGAAAUUUUUUCAUCUGUCUGUGUCUCCAUCUACCUUUCUACAUAAUUGAACUAGUUUUUUUCACAAUAGGAUUUCAUACAGUCCUAUGUUAUCUAAGUUCCUCUAAAAAGUGAAAAAUCAAGUAUAUAUUGGAUGUUGCAGGAAAGGUCACUGUCACUUGAUAGGACACCAGCCUGAUGGCAUGAGCAAGAGUAAUCUGCAAAAACAAUAUAUUGUGCAACCUCGAGAUGGAUCUAUUAUGCAAAAGCAGUCUGUAACUGAUAGUCAUAUGCAUCCGGUUCAACCUCUUAUUGAUCUUGCCGAUGAUCUGCACCAUCAGUUGCCUGGUCAACAAACCCGAAGCACCAGAACUAGUGUCAGUGGCAAAUUGCCUAAUAUUACUUGGCCUGUAGCUGUAAGUGUGACAUUUUCUUCCUUAACUGGCUGAAUCUUUGUACCUGAUGCCUUGUGAAGAUGGUCUCUUUCAAGCAUGUAUUGUUGUUGAGGAGUGAUAUUUGUUGAGUUCCUUGCUGUUUGAACGUUUUAUAUGCCCAUAUUUAAGUGCAACUUGUGCCCAAAGUCUAACUUUUAAUCUAGACAAAUGAGAGAUUGUUUUUGUUGCUUAUUCUGGUUAACUGGCACUGGUUGCAGGGGUCUGCCAGAGAAGCAUCUCUAGAUGGUUUAAAUUCUAGAUCAAUUGAUCAGAUAUCUGAAGAGAACAUCCAGCUGAUCAAUAGGUAAAUAGUACAUUCUUAUAUCAGUUAUAAUCUAAUACCACCUGAAGAAACAAAUAUUAAACUCAGCUUGUUAACUUUAGAGGUGGGGUGUAGGAAGGGGCAUGUGCACUGGUGAACCUACAGUGGGUCCCGGUGGGUCACUUGACCAACCAUUUUUUUUUUUUUUUUUAUUACAUAUUGUGGUAGUUAAAGAAAAGACUUAUGCACAUAUGCACAUAUUCAUAUAUUUAUAUAUUUGUUGAUACUUGCAUCUUAUUAUUACGGAUUAAAAUUAUUAAUGUAUUUAAACUGAAAUACAGAUCGAGGAAUUGGAGAAUGAAUUAGAGGAGUCGAGAAAGAAGUGUGCCAGACUUUCUUCUCACUUGGAAAGCCAGAGAAUGCAAAUGCUUACAGGACAACGAUCAUAACAUCAGGUGGUGACGGCAUUCAUGAAAUGGUACGUUAUUUUGACCAUGUUUGGCUAAGCUCAAAAGUAGCUUCUUUGGAGUAUGUAGUCUUUAUGGCUUCUUUGAGAAGUUGUAGGCAUGCAUAUUUGGUCAACUGCAAAUUUUAUGAUUAUAUCAUAUGAAGCUCGCGUUUCUCCUCACCAUCUCGACACCCCUGUGCACGUACAAAUGAAGUUUAGUAUGUUCUAUACAUGCUUGUCGAUUAACAAAAUGGCAUGUCAUUAUUGUUUAGCACGGUGCAAAGUAGAUCAUUUCUCUUACGUUGUACAUUAAGAUUUCACAUGCUGUACUAACUUGUUGAGGGGAGAUGGAACACUGGUCAUCAUACAAAUAUAUCCAUCUUGAAAGGAGUUGUCGAUGGACGUUAAUCGAUCUGAAGUGAUGGUUGAUUAUGUUGAAGUACCCUACGANNN
rnacentral:lncRNA from 1 species